UUUUUGAAAGGAAAAAUCAUAUUCAUUCUUAAACCUCACAAAUCACAAGCCAUAAGAAAAAUAAGUAACAAGCAAACUUACCAACCACAUUUUACUUGCCUGUCUAAUACCGGUCAUAUAAAUUUGUAUCGAAAAUAGAUGUGCUGAAUUAAAAAGUCAAGACGCCAAUGACAUUGUAUCAAGUGUGUAGAAACCGGUUAACGAUUUUAGGAGAAGAUGUGAAACAUCUAUGGCGCAUUGUGUUUGUUGCUUUGGUCAAAUGUGUAUUGCAUUUGGAUCCCCUAUUUUACAAACGUAUUUCGAAUCGGAAGUUUAGGAUUUAUAAUGUGUUGAGAUAGGAAGUUCAAUAUCUCUUAGUUUCCAGCUCGUACACAACCAUGCUGCGUUUUACCAACUGCUUUCUCUUUCUAAUCGGGCUUCGGGUCGUGUUUGGGCCGGCUCACGACAGGUCACUUCUUAACGAGCUCGGGUUUGGGCCGGUCCAUUUACUCAAAUGUAAGGCUCGACCCGACCCGACCCACGACCGAAACCUACAACGUGGUGGGUCGUGCUUGGGCCGGGUUCAUGAACGGGCCGUGUCGGGCCCAUUUCGUGCCGAAAAUUGAAAAUAGUCGAGCUGAAUGUCUUAUACCACCCCUACUACUCUUAUAAUCUAAACUUUUAAUUAUACAUGAUACGAUUACAAAUCAAAUCUAAUUCAUACAGUCUAUUGAUCAUUUUUUUUUCUUUGUCAACAAACUAAAGAAAUAAGUGAUAAAUGCUCAUUGUUCACAAUUAAUAAAUUUUUAGGCAAAACUUCUUGUGAGUCUAAGGGAAUCUAAAUUUAUACUCAAAUAAAUAAUUAUUAGUAUAUAAGUUUAUUGUUCACACUCAAAACUAAGUUUAUUUUUAUAAAUAUGUUAUCUUCAUAUUAGAAAUGGAAAAAAAAAUAUAUAUUAUAUUUUAUAGCAGGCCGGGCCAGGCAGUGGGUCUUAAAUUAUCGUGCUCGGGUCGGGCCGAGUUCAUGGGCUCAUUUUUCUAGGCCUAGCCCAACCCAUUAAAAUAACGUGCUUGGACCGGGCAAAAUCGUUAACGGGCUUGUGCCGUACCGAGCCACUUUUAAACGUACCGUGCUCGUGCUUAGCGGCCCGUUUGCCACCUCUACUUAUUACCACUGAAUUAAGUUGUUACACUUUUUUACAAAAUAAGAAAAACGAAACUCAUGUGAAUCUAGAGUCAUUUAGAUACUUCGGCAAAGAAUAUAGGGAUAGUCAUUAGUCCAUUACAUUUACCCUAAAAAAAAAAAAAAAAAAAACCGUUGAGUAAGAGAGAAAGGAAAUAGAACGAGAAAUUGAAAGCCGAGUCCGCGCAUUGGUAAAACCUNNNNNNNNNNNNNNNNNNNNGAGAGAGAGAGAGGAAGAGGUGAGAUCGUGUGUUGCUGAGCUCAGAAGAUGGUGAACAACAGGGAGCAGCUUGAGGUAAAAUUUCAACCUAAUCUUGAUUCUUGAUUCUUGAGAAACUUAGGUUAAGCAAUGUGAUUCCGAUUUCGAAGGGAAUCGGAUGCUUAUUUGUAUUUUAGACUCUUCACUCUUGAGAAAAUGGUUGGCUGUAAGAUCUGGGUGUGUAGUUGUAGACUCUGUGAAAAACAGAGUAGGCCCUGCAAAAAACUGUUCGAUCAAAUUCCAGUAGUAGUUUAUGGUUUAGUUCUGUGUGUAUAUUACUGCCUUAUCUUCGAUUUGUGUGAAAACUGUUCUUUCGUUUCGAUUUUUGUCAUUUUCAUAUGCGAAUGAGCAUCGCUUACUGAUUCUUUGGGUUUGAUACUUUGGGAAAAUGAAUGUGUUAUGUUUUGGGAAAAUGAGUGGGUAGUGGGUUACUGGAUCUUAGAGAGUGCAAUUGUAUUUGUGUGGGACUGUUGUUUCUGAUGAUUGGAGUAGUUAGGGUGUAUUGAAAUUGAGGGGUUUUGUUGCAGGACUACUUAGCUAGUUUGGAUUGCUUUGUGAUACUCUGUUGGUCAUGGUUUUGGGGGGUGGAUAGGUUGAAGAUUUGGGCAGAGAAGGAAGUGGUUGAUUGAGAUGAAUGGUGAGACUGAGAGAAGGAGCUAUUUGCGGAGUAGGCCGAGGAAGAGGGGAUAGGCUAAGGGGGAUAGUGAACCAAAUGUCAGGGAGGAGAGAUUGAGCCGAAAGUGAGGGACUUAGAGAUGAAUGGUAGACUGACAGAGGGAGUGAUAGGCUGAUGGGAAAAUGGUGAGGAGAGUGAACCAAAAGUUAGGGAUUUAGCAAAAGUUAGGGAACCAAAAUACUUAUGACUAGUUAGAUAGUUUGGAUUGCUUUGUGAUACUCUGUUGGUCAUGGUUUUGGGGGUGGAUAGGGAUACUGUUGUUUAGGGAUUUAAUGACUGAAAUUGGGGGUGAUAGGUUGAGGAAGCAAAUGGCAGGAAUGAGGGUAAAAUGAUGAGACUGAGAUGAAACCACAAUUUGAAAAUCUGGAAAAACUGAGUAGCUAUAUUACAUGGGAAAUCGAAACCAUCUGUGAUAUUUUCAGGUUAAUGCAGGUUGAUGCAUUUACUUAUGUGCAAUGGUACUGAUUGUUUAGGGAACCCGUAUUUGCUUAUAGUCAGUACUGAUUCUUUUGGUUGAUGUUUGAAUGGGUUGAUGCAUUUUACUUAUAGACAUAUAUGGUAUUGAUUGUUUAGUUAUUGUUGUUGUUGUUGCUGUUUUUGCAGGUCGAAAAAAUCUUCUGCACUACAUGCAGGAAGGCUUUCCUUACCAAGGAGAUGUACGAUGAUCAUUUCAUCACUGCUACAACAAAGGAAGCUUGCACUACCAUUCGUGAUGCUGGUCAUGACCAAUUCAGGAAGAAAGGUCCAAUGAAGCUUGAGCAGAGGCUGAGGGUACUCCAAAAGCAGCUGAAAGAGGCGGCGAAGAACCAAGAGGAAGGGGAAGGUGAUGGAAACAAGAAGAAAAAGGGGAAUCAAGGCAAGAAGGGCAAGAAGAACAAGAAGAAAUGACUAGCUAGACCAUUGAGAGAAAGAACUCCUAAAUCAUACAAGUACAGCAGUCUAGCUAGGUGAAUUUGUAGUGGUACCACCAUACUUGCAUGUCGAUCUGCUUUUAAGUCCUGUGAUUCGUUCUUCCUGUCCAUAUAAUGAUUGAGUAGAGGUUAUUGUUGUAAGCUGAAUAUACAAGUGAGUUGUAAGAACUCAAUGUGAUGGUUUAAGAAGUUUGGUAAUGUGACUUCCUUGAGAUAUUGAGUGUGACUUAAAUUGAUGGAUCGAUGUCAAGUAUUUCAGGGCAUGUUUUUUUUUUCGAUUACCUAAAGAAUGUGCGAAAUUACAACACAAAACCUCUACGAAAUUUCAGAGGCCGCAUGUUGAAACAAUGAAGAAAGCAGAUGCAUUAAAUAAUAAACAAGGCAUGAGGCAUCUAAUCACUAAUUCUCAUUGAUGGGAAAUACAUGUAAAUGAUUAUUGUUCAUGGCGACUAAAACGCAGGUCAAGGUCGACAAGAUUCUUAGGGUUAAAAUAGAAUGGCAAAGACUUUACUGGGUACCUAUGCCAGAUGAGACACCUCAACUCAUGAGAAAUAAACUCGAACUCUCCAAUCAGAUGUUUACAGUUAAUGGAGCCGUUAUCAUAAACUUGGAGCAGUCUUAAUUUCUUCAUAGUAACAAAAGCCUCUGCAAUGAAGUAUACCUCUUUUGAGUUUAACAGAUCAAAGGUUAUAACUUGAACUAUUUUAGUAACCUGGAUGACAAAUAUAGUGAAAAAUGUCAGUACAAAUAUGCAGAACCAUACAGAAGAUCAUAAUUUACCACAUAUCCUCCUAUGAUGGAAUAAAGUAGUUGGAUAGUCAGAGCCCCUAUGAUAGAAUACUGGAAAAUGAUGGAAUAAGUAGUUGGAUAGUCAGCUCAAAUCCUCCUCUUCCUCUGCAGCACUAAGCCUCUUCUGCAAAUCGACUCUGCUCAUGCUCCCAACAGCCUCCCCUUUCUUCUCAUCACUGCUUCCAAUAUCUUCAAUCUCAUCCUACCCUAGAUCUUCUUCCCCCGGCAUUGAGGGCUGGCUCGAAACAAUCGAGAUAUCACUCUCUUUGCAAGAAUCCAAUUUCACCCCCGACUUGUCACUGCUUACAGACCGCCUCGGCACAAAUUCAACACCCGCAAAAACCCCCAAGAAAGCUUCUCGGAAUCCAGCCCAAACAUUGCCUCGAACUUGACUGCUGCACAGCUUUCCCGGAACUGCUGAUUUUCUGUCCAACUUUAGAGCUUCAUAACUCCCAGAUUCCAUCACCUAUUUGGAUGAUUCUUGGGUCAAAAUUGAUCUAAAAAUGCUCCUCUACAAAUCUGGGCAGUCACCUUGGUGAAAACAUUCUAGGAACCGCAUGGAAAUUGGCCUUGAAAACCGGAGAAAAUAAGCAGAAACCAGUUUUCAGCUUUUUAUGUUUACAGCUUCUGUUUUGGUGCAGUGAUUCCAUCGACUUUCCUUGAUAUUUUUGACCAUGUGAGUGAUCAAACUCCAUCCUUGACACCUUUACUUCGUAUUGGAAGCCUUGCUUGCAUCACUUGAGCACAUAUUUGCAUUAUCUUGCUCCACAAAGUACCUAAGAAGAUAACAAAGUUAAAAUGAUCUUUUUAAAGGAAAAUAACCAAGUUAAAUGUAAAGUUUAAACUAUAAAAUCAUCGCAUUUUAUGCUCCUAUCACUUGAGAAAGCGCAUCUACUUGGUUGGACAGAUUUUUUACUUCUCCACCCACACUAGCCUCCUUUUCAGCAGUCAACUUGGACACUUGUAUCUCCAUUUCCUUUAUCAUCGUCAACCUCAGAAAUUUUGGCCUUCACUUGUUCCACCUCACAAACUGCACUGUCUCUAAUCCUCUCCGCUUGAACAUAUUCAUAAGCAAUGCAAAACCUUUUAAGCCGAUCCAAGUCAGCAUUACCAUUUAGCCCAUUGCAUAUACUGUGUCCUUUGUCUCCAGAACUUGUCCAAGGCAGGCAAUAUCUCAUGGUCAAGAAGCUUAUUAAUCUCAUCAACUCAAGAGUUUUUAAAGCCGCUUCCUUUUUAGUCUCAUACAUUCUCGUCCCGGCAGCUUCUUUUCAUAUUCAAACCCCCAAAAUUCAAAAUCAAAAUUCCACAAACGACACACCUGCCGGGUGACGGUGAGUUACGAAUGGGCCUCAUACCCGAGAGGACUGCGAGCCCGGUCCGAAUUGUGGAAGACGAUUGACAUGGUGGCCUUCCGGCCUGGCCUUGCUUAUACACCAGCUCCUGCAGAUUGGCGGCCCUGACUUGCUGUAAAUUGGUGAUGCCCAGAACGAAGCAAAUCGAAUCGAGGAUGUUGGACUUACCCGACCCGUUUAGCCCCGUUAUGGCUUUGAAAAACGGGUCGAAACCCGGCACCACCGUCCGCGUUUGAUUGUAAGAUUUUCUGGACUUGAUUCCUUCCAAGGUUACCUCCUUGAUGUACAUAGCUGCGCUCGCCGGAGAGCUACGGACGCUAUUCGGUGACCAAUUUUGGAGAGAUUCGGUUCGGUGGUUAUUUGGUGUUUUUAUCACCUCUACUAUUGAGUUAUUUGUACAUAUAACCCUACGAAAUGAAUUUUGGGUUGAGGAGGUGUCACAAUGACUCUCUGAUGUACUAAUUUUUUAUGUAACUAUCUAGUUUGCUUUCAAUUCCAUUCCAAAAAAAAAAUGAUGUCUAGAGAUUUUUAGUACUCUAUCUUACCUGAAAAUUAAUAUUGGCAAUGAAAGAGUGGCAAGCUGAUGUAUCACACGAUAUAUCACACCAUGAUUGAUAUAUCAUUCUUUCAAAACUUUGUUUUCUCAUUUGCAAGCUCAUUUGGCUUUGAGUUUUCCUAUAAUAACCUGUUUGAGUCCAGACCAUAGUUUGAUAGUUUCUCAUUUACUCCGAGUCAACUAGUUUAUGACACCUUCUGAUAGGGUUUUUAAUUUUGACUUUAGCCGUCAAUUAAUCGAGUCCGGUGAGAAGAUGGCGGCGGUGGCUCCUCCACUGCCGGAAGAGGCCAUUGUGAGCCUGAUUGAUGGUAAUGGAGAUGCCUGUGUCAGAGGCGGCGUUGGUGAUGCCUCGUCGGACGGCGAGGUGAUUCCGGCUGUUGGAAUGAAGGGGAUGUCAGAGAUGGGGGCUGCUGGUCCGAUUUCCACGGCGGGAAACUUGAAUUUAAAAAAAUCAGGGUUCUUGCUGGGUUGGACCAUGAAGUGGGCCUCUGGGAGAGCUGAUGGGCCUGAUUCUGUUGGGUUAAGGGCAGGUAACGCUGGGCUGACUGAAUCUGCAAUUGGGGUCUCCCCUUUUCACCUUUGGUGAACCUGCUUGUUGAAAGAUGUUGCAAAAAGAAGAGCAGACGUCCACUUAGAAGCAAGAAUAAGCAGCCACAUCCCGGCAAGAAGUCUAGUGCGGUGCGUUUCUUUGCCAAUAAGGGAGGAGAAUGUUAGCCCAACCGUAACGGCAAGGGAUUUCCUGGAUGCAUAUUGUGGGGAAUAGUAAUACUACAAACGUCAAAACCUUUUCUAUAAAUAGUGGGGAGAGAUUAAACUAUUUGCAUGAAAGCCCAACAUAAGACCAGGCCCAAAUCAGGAAAAGAAACAGAAGCCAGUUCUGGCAGAAAACUGUUCCUACUAUAAAUAGCUAAAGUUGGGAUCUCAACGGCUAAACCUGACUCCAUCUCUGCCGGCCGUACUGAAGACUGCAAGAACCUUCGAGCAAGACGUAGUAGAGUUUUAGGGCACAACCCUUUUCAAUUUUUGAGAUUUCAAAAUAUGGAUCCAUCUCGAGGUACGUUUUUGUUCGACAUCUCUUUUCUUAUCAAAUUUUCAGGUCUUUAUUUUGGUCGAUCGAUAUCUUCUAUAUGUUGCAGAUAAAACAUGUUCUUGAGGAUCUAUACGGCUGCUAUAUAUAUAUAAAUAUAUAUAUUCAUCCUUACAUUUAGAUUUUCUGUUCUCGAGUGUUUUGAUUUCCAGUUGCUUCUCUAGUUUAGAUUGUUUUUGGGUAGUUUACCUUUAUGCAGGCCGUUAUGUUUUGUCUGAUUCUUUUUUCCUUCCAUGAGAGGGUUUUUGGGUAAUAAUUAUAUUAUUAAGGUUUAUAGUUUUGGUUCCUACGAAAUUCACAUUCAUUAGUUAUAUAUUUGUUCGAUAAAACUCUGGUCAGUGAUCAUCUCUCUAAUAUUUUCCCUUUAUUUUGGUUUAUCAGAUUGGUCACAUUUGCCAAAGAACCUUUUGGAUUCAGUUUUAGGGAGGCUAGAGUUACUGGGAGAUUAUUUGCGGUUUAGUAUUGUCUGUAAACCAUGGUAUUGGGUAGCAAAGGAUAAUAAAAACAUAUUUGCUACAAGGCAAAGUUGUCAUCCUCCUCCAAUGCUCUUGAUUAAUACUGACAAUGAAGAUACAUGGAAGGUAUACAACGUCAUGGAUAAUAAGCUUCUCGAUUUGGAAGUUAGAGUUCCUAAUACUCGGUUUUGUGGGUCUUCAAAAGGAUGGCUGAUAUUUGUGGAGAAUAACUUUGCCGUUACCCUUGUAAAUCCAUUCUUUAGGGUUAGGGGGAGGACAGAGAAACAAAAUUCAGUCAUCCACCUUCCUCCAGUGUGGCACUUUAGGAAGUCAGAUCAUUUUGAUUAUUAUGUUCACAAGGCUGUAAUUUCAGCAGACCCAUUACUGAAUGCAAACGAGUGCAUUGUUGUGGUCAUAACUGAGCCCUUUUACCAGUUGGCUUUUAUUCGACUUGGGAAAGACUCAACUUGGACUUAUGUUGACUGGCGCAUCCGUGGUCGUGGAUUUGAUGAAGUUGUUUUCCUUGAAGGUAAGUUAUAUGGUGUUCAAUCUCGUAACAGAGUUUUAUCUUGUGAGAUCAACACUCGUUUUCAUUCUGGCCUAAAAUUAGCUGCAAACAAGUUUCAAACAAAUUAUUGGGCCAAGAAUUAUCUGGUGUGUUCAAAGGAGAAAGGAUUGUUGUUGGUUCAUAGGCUGCUGGAUUUUGAGGGGGGGAGACAUACAACGAAAUUUGUAGUAUAUAAACUGAAUUUCAAUAAGCGUAAGUGGACUGAGAUAGAUACUUUAGGUGAUGUUGCUCUCUUUGUGGGUGAUAAUUCUUCAUUUUUCGUGGCGGCGUUCCGAGGAUGUCUACCAAAUUGCAUAUACUUUAGCCAUGAUAGUGAUUGUAACGAAGAAGUCUUGGGAGCUGAUGGUCCUCGUGAUUUUGGCGUGUAUGAUAUCGAAAAUAAAAGGUUUCUAACCAUUGACACCACAUAUGUUUCAACUCUAGCCAAGAUGAGCAGGCAACCACCGAUCUGGAUUGUGCCAACGUUUCAGCUGUAAUAUUGUGUAUUUUUCCUUCUUUCUUUCAGUUGUCUGUUGGUUCUAGGAUCUGACAUAACAACGCCCAUUGUAUUGCUUUUUUUUCUUUCUUUCUUUAUUGAAAGAUUUUAAUUGGGGAAAUUUUUAUCAAAUAAGUUGUGAUGAUUCAUCCUUCAUUGAUUUCUUACUCAUUCCAACAUUCUCUUUCAUUCUGAAAAAGUAAUAAUAAUAAUUUAUGUUCUUCAUGAAUGGAGAACAAUGCCAUUUAAAGACAAAUUUAUAAUAUUAUUUAAAGUAAAAAGAACUGUUGUUGCUUCGAAAUUGUACGAGAGAAUAAGAAUGUUGUUCUGGAGGCAAAGACGAAUGGCAUUUCAAGUGAAGAAAAUUGGAUUAAUAUUCAAUGAUAAAAAAAAUUGUCAAACUUAAGGCAAGCAGAGUUGGAAGCAUUCCUAGAGAUUACAGAAGCAAUUCAAUGACUGACUUGUUAGCAAGCAUUGGUCAUAAAAAUGAGCACGGAUGCAGAUUCGUUAGCUCCCCCCUACUGGUGUUAUUCCUCUCUUGGCCAGCUAUGAACACAGAUUACAAUUAUCGUGCUGAACAUGAAAGUUAAACACUAGGAUGAUCUGCAUAUACUCCUUAUAGUGUUAUCAGUAUGUCGUUAACGUAGUGUACCAUUCCACUCAAAUGUACCAUGUUUCAUUGUUUCUGAUAAUCUCUACAAUCAAUCUCUCAAUGCACGCCUGAUUGACUGAACUGCUGGUCUAGAUCAAUUGACCUUCCACGACAAGUAUGGCAAGUAAACCAUGCUGCUUCAGUGCUUCAUGCCAAUGGAUUAGCACUUUUAACUUACAAGAAGGCUAGCUAGUGUUUGAAAUGAAUAUACUAGAUGAGAUACUGUAACAAAGAAUUUGUAGUAAUUAAUGUCCCAAGUAUACUUCUUGAAAAAUAUGAUUAUUUGAAUUGAGGCUACAGUUAGAAUUACAAUUAUAAUACUCAUCCUAAAUGUAAAGAUAUAGAAGAAAAAGAUGCAGGAAAUGGCCCAAUAUCCCUUUAAGAUUAGCUGGUGUUAGCAAGGAUGUCCAACACCUCAUGUAUAUCCUCAUUUUGAGGGUGGCUAGUAUCCCCAACUAGAAACUCGUGAGCCUUGCCGUCCACCUCUAUGACACUUGAGCCGGGGGCCUUCUGUAUACCUCUCUUCUUCAUCAACCUCCUUAUUCUUGUUGCAUCAGCCCAUCUUUUAUUAGCAGCAAAUAUGUUUGAUAGAAGCACAUAAACUCCACUGUCUUCCCACUCAAGGUGCAGGAGAUGGUCUAAUAUUUCUUGAGAGAGCUCAGCAUCAUCUUUGGCCUUGCAAGCACUUAGAAGAGCUCCUAAUAUCAGCACAUCAGGUUGCAUAGGCAUGGUGUUUAUCAAUUUCUGAGCUUCAUCCAGGAGUCCAGCUCUACAUAGCAGAUCAACCAUGCAUCCGUAGUGUUCUAAUCUUGGAGACAGACUAUGAGGUGGACUAAUCAUCUCAUUAAAGUAUCCGCGGCCUUCAUCAAUCAAACCGGAAUGGCAGCAAGCUGUCAAGACGGCUAGAAAAGUAACCGCAUUUGGCCUGAUGCCAGACCUAGUCAUUUCUUCAAACUUUUUGAGCGCCUCAUCCCCAUGACCAUGCAUGGCUAAACCGCCUAGCAAUGCAUUCCAAGUAGAGACAUUCCCACCCGGCAAUUCACUGAAAGUACGCAAUGCCAUAUUUAUACAACCGCACUUAGCAUACAUGUCGAUCAGAGCUGUUCCAAUAUGCACAUCCCAUUUGAUACCCUUACGAUCAAUAUACUCAUGCACCCAUCUACCAUAAUCAAGUGCCCCAAGACUGGCACAGGCUGAAAGCACACUGGAUAGUAUAAUCUUAUCAGGCUGUAUUCCCAGACUCUGCAUCUCACAAAACAAAUCCAGCGACUCCCUCGGACGUUUACAUUGCACGUAUCCACUUAUCAAGCUAGUCCAAGACACAAUGUCUCUUUCCGGAAGCUCAUCAAAAACCCGCUUCGCCUCACACAGACUCUCACACUUUACAUACAUAUCCACAACAGCAUUGCCCACCACCAAAUCCAUCCCCAACGAAUGCUUCAAAAUCAAUCCAUGAACACCCUUCCCCACAUUCAAAUACCCCAUCCUUCCACACGCCACAACCACACUAACAAAACUCGCCGCAUUCGGCUUCACAUCCAUCCUCAAGAACAACUCCACAGCCUCACCAUACAACCCUGCCUUGACAUGCCCCGAAACCAAACCAGUCCAAGACACCACAUCCCUCACACGCAUUUCAUCAAACACCUUCUUCGCAUCACCACACUCCCCACAAACACUAUAGAAAUGCACAAGCGAGUUCUCAACAUACACAUCACACGCAAAACCCAUCUUCACAACCACACCAUGAACCUGUCUGCCUUCUCCUUUCCCCAAAAACUUAACACAACAUUUCAACACCGCCGGAAUAGUAAACAUAUCAGGCACAAACCCAUCUCUAACAAUCCUUCUAUAAACCAAAACCGCCUCCCUGGACUUUUCACCAUUACCAUAGCUAGAGAUCAACAUGUUAAAUGGAAAAGAGCUCACACGGUAAUCAAGUUGCUUCAGAAAAUCACAAGCGUAAUCGAAAUGGGUUGCAGAUUUUCCCAAGAACUUGACAACAUUGGUGGCAACCAAGUCAUUGCAAGCCAGGCCUGAAGUUUCAAUCUUUGCGUGGAUUUGCUUGAAACAAGUCAUGGUUUUGCAUUGAGCAAGCAAAUCCAAGAGAACCCAUUUCAGAGACUGCAUGGAACUACUUGUGUCAGCUAUAAAGUCUUCAUUUUGAGGGAGUUGGAGGGUUGGUGAAAGCUGAGAUUUUGAGAGGGAACUUCAAAACUGGACACUAAUGGUGAAAUGGGAAUUUACAGAGUAACAUACACAUUUUGAGUGAAGUUUAAAAGUAGCGAACUUUGAUCAAACUAUGCUUACUCUGAAUCACCCAGUACCGCUUUGAAUUUGAGCACCAAGUCUAAAUGGCAAGUCGUAUUUGGGUCCUAUGUUGUUUGGUGUUUUUUGGUUGAUCAAGUCCCACUUGGUUCGUGGAAUGAGGUGAAAUGCAUUUUCAAUCGUUCUCUUCAUUCUGAGGCAUUGUGUCUCAUGUGACAUGUAUAAUUUAUCAAACCGGAAAACCACACUCAUUUGUAAAAAAGCAAAAUGAAAAUUAAGUGUGUCGAAAAGAGGUUUGACGAGCCUAAACAAUCAACUAGUAUAAUGUUAUGUCAAGAAUAGAUAUGAGACAACAAAAUAGGAGAGACUGUGGAACAUUGUGGUGCAUUGUUUUUGUUGCUUAGGCCAAAUGUGCAUUGCAUUUGGAAUCGGUAAGUUUAGGAUUUUCAGUUUUUCAGUACGUCGAGCACAGAUUAUAAAUACGUUCAUCACAUUUAAUCUCUUGAAUGCUUGAGUUGUCAUUGCCUAGUAUGGUAAGUUUUCUUUGAAUGGGGCUGGGAUUACCGCUUUCACCCAAUUCACGACAUGAGUGAGCUUGCUUGCCAGUGCCACUCGCUUUGGCAAAUCAGAAAGGUUUUUAUUCAAAACUGCACAGAUGAACCAAAAUCAGAAGAAGCACCAAUGAAGACUAAAGACUAAAUGGACUUGGAUUAGUACUAAACAGUUUCCCUGCAUCAUUACAAAAAGGCCAAAGAGCCUAAAACCCUGCACCACUAAUUCACUAAAACCUUAGUUCAUUGAGUCAAAAACCUCUGGCCUUGAAUAUGGCAUUUGUGAAUUUCGAAAUCAACCAAAACAGAGAAGUCUGUGCAGCAUUACAAAAAAGGCCUAAACCCUCCAUGACUCAAGGCCUUGAGUAUUGAGCUUGUGAAUUUCCACACAGAUCACCCAAGAACUGAAGCUCCCUCUUAUCCAAAGUAUCCAAAGACAAGUCCCUUAGCAACUGAGUAUGACUCAUCGGAGCAGCUGUAGUAGCACUAGUGUCACUACUAGUAACCGCAUUACUAUUACUAACUCCCAAACUAGUCGAACAGCUCCCACCACCACUCAAAAUCGAACCAGAAGUGGCCUGCACAUCGCCACAACUAUGAACUUCAACCCCAGAUUGCAAUGCUGUGACAGGGAAGUUCGACAUUGGCCUCCCUUGCAGAUUGAACAUCGUCUGCCCCGAAACUGAAUCCGAAGGAAUAGCCCAACCAGAGUUUGGGAACAUUAAAAACGGCACAGCCGGCACAUUGGCCCCGAAUUGCCACAUAGGCACCAAACCCCCACCACCACCACCACCAAUGCCGCCGUAAUUAACCGUCGCCAUCGGCGCCAACCCACUCGAAAUCGAGCUCAAAUCCUCCACAUCAACAAAUUCACUAUUGCAAUGUAGCCUCCUCUUCUUCCUGGGAAGCUCAGAGACCUCUCCAUUCGGAUUCGCCAGCGAACUCGUCGGAAUCUUCAGCGCGCCGCCGACGGAGACUGCGAUAGCGGGGACUGUUCCGGUACCAGUGGCUGCAAUUAUCGCCGGCUCGGCGUGCUCGAGAAGCCACCGGAUGGUUUCUCCGUCGGUCUUGUGACCCAAUUCUCGGGUCAGCUGGAAAACCCGGGCCGCACAGGCCGCCGGCAUUCGAACCCUCCGGCCGCGGCCCUCCACCUUCGUGUGGCGGUCCUUCGUCGACGACCGCUGCUUCACCACCGGUUUCGCCGACGCCGGAACCGGAAUCAGACCCAUCGACAGAGACCCUUCUUCGAACUCUUCUUUCUUCGCCGCCGCCGGAAAUUGGUGACCGGAAAAUGUAGGGUUCAUGGGUUCAAGACUCUGCCUUUGAUUUUCUUCCAUCAAAACCUUGCUUGAUUUUCUCAGCGAAACUUUGAAACUGAGGGUUUUGAAGGAAACCCAGAUAGAAUUGAACAAGAACAAGAUGAAAAGGGCAACAAAUUUCACGAAUUUAAGAGGAUGAUAUUUGGGGGAAGUUGAAGAAAUUGAGCAAGAACAAUAAAGGUUGAAACUUUGGGGGAGUUUUGGUAUGAAAGUCUGUUCAUGAUUAGAUUAGAGGACUAAUUGGAGAAAUGAAGAACAAAAAGUUGAAGUCUUUUGGGUGAUUUGGAGUGAGCUAUCAGCUAAAGAAAUUGAGAUGGGGAUGGAACUCAUGGAAGAAGAAACAAGGCCUAUAAGGCUAUAAGAGAAGGAAGAGGAAGCAGACCCACUUAUCCUCUUUCUAUUUUGACAACCCUACCAGGGAGGGACCCCUAUAGGGCGCUUUAGUUAUUUAUUCAGGGGUGGGGGUCAUAUAGACGGUGAGGGACUGCCCACGGUAGCAUUUACCGUUGAGAUGGCGCCACGAGAUGUGGGAUUUCUUCGGAAUCUUUGAACUUGACUAGCUACUUGAGAAAGAGAGAGCUAGUCGCCUACAGCUUAGUACAACUAUAGACAAGAAUCUGAUAUCUCAUUACAUCGAAUACGCCGACUAAUCACUAUACUUAUUGCUAAGCUAACUUCAGUAAUCUCGAGCUAGUUCAUCCUUACAAUUACAUUGAUGUAUGGAUAGGUUAAUGUUGAUCAAAUACUGUUACGAACACAAAAUUCCUGUGGCGGAUUCAGGAUCCGAGAGCUGUUUAGACUAAUUAUACAAGUGCACAAUUUUUUUUUUUAAGGCUUGAAACUAUCACGAAGGGAAAUUAAGUAAAUCGUAUUUUACAUGGUCUGUUUACUUCAAACUCAUCAAUCACUGAUUUAUUAUCAAUGUUAUGGCAAUUUUUUCAAUGUAGAGAAUCAUCGUAUCAUCAUCAAGGGACUAUUUGCUCCUCUAUGUCACAAGAACAAAUGAGUAAUUCAUAACCUUAUACAAAAUGAACAAAAGCUCUAGAGCUUAUAAUUUACAGAAACGUCUAAAUCAACCACUUCGGCAUUACAUCCUCAAUUCUUCUCCAAAUCCCCACUACCAUUAAAUCGUACAUGAAUACAUAAAAAGCCACAAUUCUUCUAGUCCCAAAUUCACUAUUGAGCAUAGCAGAAAAAUUAAAACCCUCAAUUCGAGCAGCCUUUUAAGAAAGAUUUGUAUACGAGUGUAUGAUAUAAUUUGAGUAGCCUUUAAUUUCCUAAUAUCGCAAAAGCUAGCUAAACUUAGAGGACAAUCAAUUGAGAUUUGUUAUCGUAUUUUGAGUAAAAUCCCAAAAGAAAAAAACUUGCAAAAUGAAGUUUGUGAUGAUCACGUAGGAACACAUGUUCAACUUCAAACUUGUUUGCAUAUAUUAUCCUCACCAACCGUACGCAUAAACCUACCUGAUAGACACAAGCCAACAGUUCUUUUAACAUAUUUUCACACUUUUCUUCGUAUGAACUUUGCUUUUAUUUGGAACCUUUCCAUUUUAAUGUACUCAACUAAACUUUGAUCCUCCAAGAGUACAAGAUAUACAAGCUUAGGUGUACUAGACUUGAUCUCAAAGUACACAGAUAGACUAAAAGCUUCAAUCAGGUGUAGUACAUGGUCAAAUUUAUAACACAGAUAUACAGGUUGUUAAAUCCAUUGAGUAACUUUGAAGUAGAAUAUAUCAUAAAUAAAUAUAUAUGUAUAUGAACUUUGUCCUUGCUUAUAUAAACUGGUCGAUUGGGAAGAGUUUCUCAUCAACCUUGAGCUUGAAUUUCAUCUUUGUUCUGUGAUUUCUGUCGAUAGCCUCUCGAUCUUUCGUUUCUUCUUCGUCCCAGCAUAAAUGGCUGCAUUUGCACCAAAAACCAUUCUAUUCUGCACAUUUUUGCUUCUUUUACGUACUCUUCCACAAUCAAGAGCAGCACUCGAUACUCACUAUUAUGAUAAAACAUGUCCACAAGCCGAGAAAAUCAUAUUUCAGACGGUAUACAAUGCUUCCAUGCAUGACCCUAAAGUCCCAGCUCGCAUCUUAAGGAUGUUCUUCCAUGAUUGCUUUAUAAGGGUAUACCAUUUAUGCCCUAUGCAUCUAGCCCUCAUUUCCAUUCUUGAUCUUUGCAGAUCGAGCUUAUAUAUGCGUUGGUGUUUUCUUUGACCGUACUCAUUCUUAUAAUCUUGUUGAUUAGGGUUGUGAUGCGUCCUUGCUGCUCGACUCAACCCCAGGGAACCAAGCAGAGAAAGAUGGCCCUCCCAACAUUUCAGUCCGAUCAUUCUACGUGAUCGACGAGGCCAAAGCUAAGCUAGAAGCCGCAUGUCCACAUAUCGUUUCUUGUGCCGAUAUCAUAGGCAUUGCUGCAAGAGAUGUAGUAACCAUGGUAGGUUUCAGUAUAUAUAGUCGAUCAUGUCUGCGUUUAACUAUCACACUAUCGCUAAUGCUAAAGACUAAAGUUACUAAUCUAUUUGUUCGCUAAAUGAUGUGUUAGUCUCGAGGGCCAUAUUGGACUGUGCUAAAAGGAAGAAAAGAUGGAAGGGUGUCGAGGGCAAACGAGACCAUCAACCUACCAGCUCCAACCUUCAACGUAAGCCAACUCAUUCAAAGCUUUGCCAAGAGAGGUUUAGGAGUCAAGGAAUUGGUAGCUCUAUCCGGUGGCCAUACUCUAGGGUUUUCGCAUUGUUCUUCCUUCGAAGCUCGUCUUCGCAAUUUUAGUCCGGUCCAUGAUGUUGACCCGACUAUGGACAGUGAGUUUGCUCUAAAGCUAAGAAAACAAUGCCCUAAACCAAACAGGGAUCACAGCGCUGGGGAGUUGUUGGACUCGACGUCCUCGAUCUUCGAUAAUGAUUAUUACAAGCAAUUGAUAGGAGGAAAGGGAGUGUUUGGAUCGGACCAAGCAUUGUUUCGUGAUUUCAGGACUAAAUGGAUUGUGGAAUCGUUUGCCAAAGAUCAAAGUUUGUUCUUUAAAGAGUUUGCUGCUUCUAUGGUGAAGCUAGGCAAUGUUGGGGUGAUAGAGAAUGGAGAAGUGAGAGUGAAUUGCAGAGUGGUAAACUGAUCAGAGAAAAGAGAGUAAUAAUAACAACCCAAAGACUUUUUUUCUUACAUCAGUUACAUGUAUGUGUGAUUCCCCCAUUCAUAACUCAAAAUUAAUGUAAUUUUGAUCUUGUUAUGAGAAUAAACUAAACUUGUUUAUUUUUUGGUAUACUUGCAUGUCCUUGUAUGUGAAACACUGACAAGAAAAGAUAAUAGACAAUAUAUACGAGCACCAAUAUUCGUCUGAACGUCAAACUCCAAAUCAUUUGACAAUAAGUGAAUCAAAAUGUGCGAAUCCAAGCAUCAUUCCAUGCUACAAAGUUUUCUUGGAAGGUUGUAAAGCUGAGAAAUAACCUAUACAUAAUUGAAUAAGACCACUCUCAUUUACUUGUUACUGUUAUUUGCAGUCAUGAUCGACAUUGCAAAGGAAUCACUAAGUUACAGUUAUGGAGGGAUUUCAAUGGAUUUGCAGCUAGGUUACGGGAUGAGGAAGUUGCAAGAGUAUCAGGUUGUGGAAUUUUCGUGCAGUUAUACUAUGAAAUUAUGCAUGAUUGUUGAUUAUGUUGUCAUGUUUUCAUGACGAGAUUGAGUUUAAACUUAAGGAGAUGGAAGGGAUAGUUUCGGUUAUUUCCAACACUCGUCUAGAGCUUCACACAACAAGCAUAACUAGAAUACUAGAUAAUGGGUCUUCUUGGGACUCCCCGGCGACAACUUUUCAACCAUAUAAUGGGGAAGGACACAUAACUAUGGGCAUUAUAGAUUCAGUGGGUUGAGAUUUAUAUAAACACCAAAGGGGGGAAUUGUUCCUCUGUGAGACUGUGACUAUUGAUCAAAUGGUGCUGGCAUUCUUGAUGCAGACGGAACAGGUAUCAUCACCUUUUAAUAUUUCAAUCUGUUGAUCCUGCCUUCUCUUUUCCCGUUCCAACAACACUUAUCAAUCCGGAAGAAAUUGCGGAAGUAACGGAAGUAUCAGGUAAAUAAUCAACACAGUCGACCUUUACCACAGUUUUAGCAACAUAUAUUGGUUUCUUACUUUGAACCACUGAAACCUCAGUUAACCAGAGGCAAGUACUCGGGUUACUGAAAAAUGGAAGGAUCUACAGAUUCUGCAGGCACCGUAUGUACCCACUUUAUCAUCAAGAGGACCCUCACCAAAUGGUGCCUGGUAAUCUAAAGAGAGCAUUUUCUUGGACUGAAAACCAUCACUUUAUUUCACCAUAUGCAUUAUUCCAUUCAUAUAUGUUCUCACAAGUUGAAUAAAAUUAAUAGCCUGACCUCGUCGCACCAGGUGCUUAUAUGAGUUAUAUCCUUGCGGCUUGGUCACCUGUUGCAAAAGCUUCAGUUAACAAAGAGGACGCAAGGACUGUCAAAUACUUCACAGACUGAACGUCAAUGUCUUGCCCACAGGUAACAGAAGCAGCAGCUAUUGUGAAGGCCAAGCACCUACGCUGGUCGCAAUCAAAUCUGCACUCAUGGCCGCUGGUAUAGAUUUCAACUGAUCAUUUUGCUAGUAUAAUUUUCAGAACAACUUUACAUGACAAAGAAAUAGAAGUGGGGAUCUGGUUUUCUCAACCCAAUGAAGGCACUUGAUCCUGGGGAUAGUUUUUUAUGCAUCUGAGAAAGAUUAGGCUACAACACCACUACACUAAAGAGAAUAAAAGGUAACAAUAUUCUUUGCAGGAACACCAAGCCUGGCAGGGCAUGGGACCUUAACUACCCCUCCUUCUCUCUACCUACAGAAGAUGGUAAUAGAAUCAGGGGAAAUUUCCAUAGGGCUGUUACUGAUGUUGGGAUUGGAACUUAACCUACUAUGUCAGCAUAGAUGCACCUGCUGUCGUGGAGACUAAAGUGGAACCAAGUGCACCAUCAUCACUGGGAGUUGGGGAAAGAAUCAUUCAGAGUGGAGGUCAAUGGACCACACAAAUACAAGUGCUAAUUACUUUGGGUGCUAUCACAUGGAUAUCUACAGCACAAUAGCACAUGUGGUGAGAUCCCCAUUAGUAAUAUACACUGUGCUUCCAUCUGUAUUUCUUAUCGAUCCCUCUCUCGCACACAGAUGUCACGACUCACAAGAUAGGAAACUACUGUCUUAGAUACUAAAGUGAAUGUCACACAAACUGAGCCACUGUAGCACAUAUAUGAGGUGAAUUAGGCGGUGGUACACUCUGCUUCUAUCAUAUCUUAAGGCAGUACAAGACCAGUAUUAAGAUUUUCCCUAUUGUCAAGAAUGUUUUUAAUGGUUUCUGUUUCUGGUUUAUCAACCAGAAACAAGUAUUUAGAUAGAGUAUAUCAUUUGUUUACUCUUUUAUGCAUGGCUGUGACCUUUAUGAAAUGUUUAUUUAGGUAUUCUUUGGGAGCAUGUAACAUCAGAAGAACAAAGAAACUUCAGAUCAGCAAUGAAUCGAUGAUUAACAUUUCUGCUACAACAUUCUUUUAGUAUUCUUUUAUAUCAGAAAAUUUUCAAGUACUUACAUCAUGCAAAUACAACAUCUGAACGGAACACAUACUUGAUACCCUUAGUAACAUUUCGAGCUUCAUGCAGCAAACAUUUGUGCCCAUGAAUGUGUAGAAGAGCCAUCCCUUCAACAGGAGCCACCUGCAUAAUAUUAAGCAGGAUCAACAAGCCAUACAUAAUCCAUAGAGCUCUAAUUAAAAACCUUCCAAAAUGGUAAGAUUAUACAUCAUACGGAAGUUGAACAUAAAUUAAAAAGGUAUAAACAUCAACAUGGUAUGACUACAAGAUAGCCUACUACCUCAGCCACAACACUAUUCCUUGAGCCAUAGAAGACGGUCUCUCCUCCAACCAGAGGCUCAGAGGAUGAAUCCUCAGGACUGCUCACAUCGUUUUUCGCUUUCGGUUUAGAACCACCACUCAAAUAUAUCAACAAAGUAUAAUGUGUGCGUUUUCCAUCUUCAAGAUCAACACUUUCAUCAAUAUGCCUCCCAAAUCGCUGACCAGCCUUGUACCUAAGAUCCAUUGCAACAAAAAGCCACAAACUUUAUGAACCCAAAAUGCAACAAAAAUCAAACAUUCAAAUCAUAUAAACAGAGAAGCAAUUCUCAAAGCAUGAAUGUAAUGAGUUCUAGCAUAUUCAACCUGUAGAGUCUGAUAUUUGGGUUUAAGCCAACAGCAACCUCCCGUCGAAUUUUGAUGUCAGAAAACAAUUUGCUGAGCCCAGAAUUCCAUAUUGUAUCAGCAAGAACAGGAUCGUUCACAGAGAUUCUAUCAUUGUCUCUAUAAGCUUCACCUUUUGUUGGGCCUAGACUUCCUUGGUGAACAAACCCAAUAGACUCUGCAACUUUAACAAAAGUCUUUGAUUCUGCAGAUGUGAAGAAAUUUGGUACCUGAACAAAUUGAAAACAACAGGCUAAAGUCAGACAAAGAUUGAAGUUUGUAAAGGAAGGUCAGAAUAGAUGCAAGGAUAUUGAGGAUAAAAAUGGAAUGGGAUUCUUACAGUGAAAAGAUCAUUGUCUUUGAGACGGGUUAUCUGAAUGUUUUGCUUUGAUUUGACUGUUGGCCACUUUGGUGUAGUUUUCCUGGAACUGGAAUCAGCUUCUCUUCUCUCUCCCAUCUUCCUCUUCCUUGUUUCUGUUUCAGCCAUACGCGACCUCUCUUCUUUUUCUUUUUUUAUUAUUCACCAUCUAUAUGGGCUAUGAGCUCUUUGAGCUUGGGCUUGAUGGACCGCCCAUGAAUCAGAUUCUUUUUUUUUUUUUCUUUUUUUUUUGGAAUAGCAUGUAAUCAUAAAUUCUUAACGCAUCAUACUUCACAAUCUAUUAGAGUAUUGAAUAAUAUAUAUUUCACUAUCUAUUGACUCCAUUCAAGUAUUUUGUGAUCUUAUUGCACCACUAAGGAUUGUAAAUGGAUUCAUCACUUUAUUUACUAAGUUGUCUUCAUCUUAUUCACUUUAGCUACAUAUGUAGAUAUAUAGCCUCACUUUUGUAUAGCUCAUGAUGUUUUGUUCAAGUAGCAGUUAGAUAAAUAAGGUAAAAGGCUAGGUGAAACAUUUUCUAUGUUUUUAUUGGGGAAGAAGGGAAGGGUCUCAUUUGGGACAUCAUCUACCAGUGUAACUUCAUCAAUACACCAACUCUAAGUGAAAUAUUGGCAUGGCAUUUUAAAAUGAUCUAAGAAGGGAAAUAACAAUUUAUUCGUUGUCGAUCAGAUGCUAAUAACAUAAUACUAUUUUAUGUGAUCAAUGAUAGCAAGCGAGUCUUAUUCAAUUGUAAGUACCUUCUUUCUUUUUGAGUAAAAAAUUUACCGUAACGCGAUAAAAACAAUCAAACACAUAAACUUGUAAGUUUCUUCAUCUCAAUCUAUCUAUUGAUGAAAAAAAUAUGUAGUAUACCUGUCACUAACAUAAUGUCUCAACUAAGAAGUAGCAUUCACUUAACAAGAUAUUAUAAUUUGCAAACAAACACAUUUGACCUUGCUACACAGCCGAUCGAUCCAAAGAUACUUUCAUAUAUUGUAACCCAAAAAAAAAAAAGAAUACUUUCAUAGUUUCAUUUCAUAUAUCGUCUCCAGCAAAUGGAAAUUGACCUGGUUCUGGUUCUGGUUGGUUCUUCAUCCUCGAAUUCUCUUUACAUAUUCUGCCGCCAAGAACGUCUUUCCUAAGUACUGUAUUCCCCAGCAAAGACAUUAGGUUUUGUAUGAAUUUAAAACUUAGAAAAAAAAAAAAUAAAGUACAAAUUAACGCGCCACUCAAGGUUAGCCACGUGACACGGUCCCCCAUUGGGGAAUAUGACGAGAGCGUGCUGACCACAGACGGCUCGCUGGCACGCUCCUAUUGGCCAGUCAGGACAUCAUUGUACGAUGUAAAUUUAAAUAAGGGAAAAUCGAAAGAUAAAGAUCUAAAAAAAAUCUUCUUCAUCUGACUUUUGACUUUUGAGAGAAACAUUUCAGCUAUUUUCUGUUUUCUUUUAAUUCUUUGCCAAAACAAGAUAAGCAAUGAGAACGAGAGGUUCGAGCAUCCCUGAAUUGUUUAUUUCAUCUUCUUGGUUUUUUUUUUUUGUUGCAAUUAUUUGUUGCUUUGUGGGGUAAGCAACUUGCGAAGCAGGGAAAGACAUGGAGAAUAAUGGACGAGAGGUAUUGAUGAAAAUGGAAAAAAAGGGUUGUGUGGCCUCAGAAUAUCGAGGUUGGUACAUCAUCAACAUUUCUAGUAUAGGAUAAAACGAUAAAAAGUCAUUCUUGCCUUCACUGCACUGCUCUAGCUAGGGUUUCUGAUCUGUUUUUCCAUAUCUGUGUAACUUGAUAGCAGUCCUUUGUUAGCUGAAAAGUUACUGGUUCUUCAUCAUGUUUCCAGAAACCUAAAGCUGACAACUUUCCUGGGGUUUUGCUUCUGGGUUUUCAUCUCUGAUCGAGAUUCUUUGGGGGUUGAGUGAUUAAACCUUUCCUGGGUUCUGACUGUCCAGGUUUUAACUCGAUCUUGUUCUUUCUUUCUUUCUUUUUUUUCCCUGUCUGUAUUUCUAAUACUGUUGUGUUUAUCAAUUUUUGAAAGAGUUUAGGGAUCUGAUGGUGAUGUUGUGAUGUGUGUAUAGGAGAUGGUGAGAGGGAAGAUUGAGAUGAAAAGAAUUGAAAAUGCGACAAGCAGGCAGGUAACCUUUUCUAAACGUCGAAACGGGCUGUUGAAGAAGGCUUAUGAGCUUUCGGUUCUUUGCGAUGCCGAAGUUGCGGUCAUCGUCUUUUCUCAGAAGGGCAGGCUCUAUGAGUUUUCCAGCUCUGAGUACGUUUCAUGGUUAAUUUAUCCAAAUUAGUUUUGAAACUUGAAACCCCGACUGUUUUUUCUCCUCUUCUUUUGAUCUUUUCUCUGUAAUCCAUAUGCUGCUGCUGCUUCAGUGCUUCGCUACGUGUAGCCAUCCUAGCUAUAUAAGUGAAGGUCUGAAGGACACAGAUUAUUAGAAAUAGAUGUAGAUAUGAACUUUUGGCGUGUUGAGCACAAAGUUAUGGGCGUGUUGUACUUGGUGUUGGUAGGAGGGUUGUAAUAACACUGUAUAUGAUCAGUAGCUAGUGUGUUCUAGUAUAUCAAGUACAUCUAUUAAUUUACUGGGUAGAUGCAAUAGGAUUGCUCGAUCUGAUCUUUUUUUAUAAACUUUCUGGCCCCCUUUGUCCUUUGAUUCAGCUCAAUUGGGAGAUGGAACACUCUAUUUUCCUCCUUUGAUUUCCUAUUCCAUCGGGUUUAGCAGUUGUUUUUUAUGAGAACCAGCUGCAAAUUCAAUUCCAUUGAUUUUCCCUAAAAUUAUCCCUAUAUAAAAUGCAUCCGUGAGUACUGAUUUGCAUCUGGUUACAUUAAUUAAUCAAGAUUAAGUACUACAUAAGUACAUAUAUAUCAUAUGAGAAGUAAUUAAUGAUUUCAUACUAGUGCAUGGUAUAAUGCGAUUUGAAGAAGCAUUAUAUCAUGUCUGCUAAACUGAAUUAUCUAGGUUUUAUGUAGUACUAUUAUACCAGAUUUCAUGCUUUUGAUUUUCGAAUCACAUUCGGUCUUAAUUUGUUUUGAUGUUUGUGGUUAAGUUCUGGUAAGCUAUGCACAGAUCUUGUCCCAAAAAAUCAUAUUAAUACAUCAUUUCAUGGACUACUUUGCAUACAUGCAACCCUUGAGCUGAAUGUCUUGGCAUAUGCUCAAUAACCACCUUGUACAUUUCCCUUUGUCAAUAACCAUCUUGUACAGUGCCCAUAGUCAAUAUUCAAUAACCACCUUGUACAUUUCCCAUAUGCUUGCUUUGCAUACAUCAUUAUAACCAAUACUUUCUCAUGAAUCAUCAUCAAGUCUGACCACUAGAAUUGAUAUAGGUUACUCACUAAAAGGAAACAUGAUCAAAAUUGAACUGCACCUCUGAAGUUUAUAUGCAUUCAUGUGUAAGAUCAUCCUUCUAUAUGCAAAUUUUUUAGAUUUCUGUAUAUUUAGACGAAGAAAAUCAACCCUUCUAGCCCAAAUAUUGAACCCCUAUGAGCAAGCUUUUGAUACACAUUACUUCAUCAGAAGAUGCUAGAAGCUUAUUUGAUAUUUUUGUACUUCAGGUCUGUAGAUAUAUUUUUAACCUUCAUCUGGUUAUAUAAUGGUGUAACCGACUAUUAUGGUAACUUUUAUGAGAUAUAUAACUGAAAGUCUUGUUUUGGUGGAAUGAUUGUGGUAUGCAUGUUAAGAUUCAAAGUUAUAAACUGUGUUUUCGGGAAUACUUCUGAUUAUCAGGUAGAAAAAUGGAAUUAUGUUUUGUGUUUCAGUUGAUUGAUUUAUCAGCUUUAAUUGAUUUUGACAUUAUGUGUUUUGGAUGGAUGGAUCAGCAUGCAAAAGACUAUAAAACGAUACCAUAAACAUGCAAAAGGUGCGCAGACCAACACUACUGAAGUGGAACAGUAUAUGCAGGUUAGAACCUCUCAACAUCUCUUCUGAGUUUGAACAUCUAUUAAAGGUCCUUUAGCAUUUAGUUGAUUACUUAUAUAAGACCCUUGAUAGUAAAAUCCAAGACUAUUUACAGCGGAAAGAUAGUAUUACUCUUUUCUUUAUGUUUUAGUUAAGUAUGUGAGAACAACAGAUAUUUACAGAAAUUAAGUCGGAGGACAUGAUUCAAAACCCCUCAAAGCUAAGUGGAAGGCAAACCAAAAUCAUAACCAGUUACUUAUACUUCGUUAUAUACAGCAAUUAGAUGUAGCCGGUACACUAGUAUUUGUAUGCUAUUACUGAGUAGGUGUUAGGUUGACUCUGUGUGUGAUAUGUCAAAUCCACACCGAGAGUCGAACAGUACCUAAUCAACUAAAGUCUAAAAUUCUAAAGUAAUUUCAGCAGCACACAUUUUUCAUUCUAGUUUGCAAGAUUUUCAACCCUAAAAUGAAAAUAUUUCCUAUACAAAUGGAUCAGUAUAUGGUUUAGGAUGUAUAAUCCAACUGGCCAUAUGCUUUUCCAUUUUUGUUUGUCGACUGAUAGUAAUUUAAAUAUCUUGCAAGUACAGCAAUUGAAGCAUGAAUCAGCUGACAUGGCCAAGAAGAUUGAGAUCCUAGAAGCUUCUCAACGGUUUAUGACUUGGCUAGUUUGAUCUUCUCAUGUACAUUUGCACUCACAUCUGACAUUCCAUUAAGACUAGGUUUUCCUAAAGUCUAAAAUUUCUAUCUCUCAGGAGGCUUUUGGGACAUGAUUUAGAUUCUUGCUCUGCUCAAGAACUCAAUCAGAUAAGUAGCCAGCUCGAGCGAAGCAUACGCAUUGUUCGAGAUAGAAAGGUAGUCAGCGUUUUAUUUUUCUGCCAUUUUCUUCAACCAAAGAUGACUAUAUACCUAACUGGAACUGCAAGCUUCCUGCAGGGUCAGCUAUUCAUGGAACAAAUAGAACGACUCCAAGCGAAGGUAUACUCUAUUUUUCAGACAAUAAGUUAUGCUUGUUUUAGUUUUGUGGUGCUUCAAUUAUGCAGUUUUGAUACCAUCUAUCAAUAUUAUUUGCCCUAACACCAGGAGAGGAUCCUCUUAGAAGAGAAUACAAAACUUCACAUAGCGGUGAGUCAAUUGCUUAACCCUUUAACAUACAGAUAAACAUGCCUGUGAUUCAUUCUUCUCUGCACUAGAUGAUAUGAUAUUCUUAAUCAGUGUGGUGCAAGGCCUUGGCAGCAACAUAUAGUUCAAGAAAAAGAAGUUGGGGCAGCAACUUAUAACUGGAUGAACAGUAGUCAAAGUAGCAGCAGCCAAACAAUCAGUAAUUCAGAUCAGGUGGAGACUGGGUUGUUCAUCGGACCACCAGCGAUGCGCUGUGAAUAAAUGUAUAGCACAGUUUUGUGUCAUCUUCUGAAAACCAACACCAACAUCUCAGCUGAUAUUGGCCAUAAGCAAGGAAAUAAACAAUGCUCUUUCUUCGGGCAUACCCUAUUUCAUAUAUAUGUAUUCGACUGAUGUAGAGGGCCAAAUUAGUGAUUUUCUGUGUCUUUUGAAAGUUGUUUUUACAAGUCCUGCACUCCUGCCAGUUUCAUGUAUCUGAUUAAUCUUAAGUGUAAAAUCAAGACUUUUACAUUUCAAAACUAUUCCGAAAUCUGAAAUGCCAUAUUAAUGAAGCUUUAGUCAAGUUUGCAUCUUCCUUGAGUAUAAAGUUUUCUUCACAUUGGCACCUAAAGUCUCCAAACAAUGAAGAGUAACAUGUCAGUUUCAGCUACAUGCCUCCAUACAUGUCAAUCUCCAGAACUCAAUUCAUGUAAAAGUGCAAAGCACUGUGAACGCCCUUGCAUCAAGGGUAGGUAAUUAACUCUAAGUCAUGUAUUUGGACUGACUCAAAUUCAAGCCCACACACUAAUUGGGCCUCAUGUAUUGCUUCAUUUGGCGAUUUUCACUUUUGCUGCCUUUGGUUUUUGGAUAGAUUUGGUUUUGCUUUGAAUGGGGUUCUAUUAUUGUUCUGUGCAGACUACAGACUGCAACUGAAGACUGAAGACAAUCCUUUAUUCAUUUUUCUGGUGUGAAGACUAUGAUUCACCUAAAAAUUGUUGAUAUCAUUAUUAUCCUAUAGGCUUAGGAUCGACCUAUACACUAAGGUAAAAUACAAAAAUGUUGGAACUUGGAUUCUUUCUUAUUUGCAGUCUGAUACGUAUAAUUUGGUAAUUGAAAGUAACUUGUGCAUGGAGGAAAAUUAAUUUUGGGGGGUUGCAGUCUCUCUUCUUCUCACUCUCAAUAAUGUGUUACAAGCAGCGCAUGGUUUUGGCGAGCACAAAAAAUUGAAAUAGGAUGGGACCUCUCACUCUUUGGAGGUCUCUAUCACAUUAUCAAUCUCUUCCCAUUUCCCAUGUUCAAUAAUGUAGCUGUCUAGCUGCUUAUAUUUUGCAUUGUAUUACAAGCCGUCUCAAUGUGUCCAAACAACCCAGAAACUCUACGCCCUUUUGAUCCGUGCAACUCUUAAGCCCACCAAAGGCUCCUCCCUUUCACUGUUUGGGCCAAUCAUAAAUUUUCUUUUCUUGAGUAUAGAAAGUGUGUAUAUGUAAUCUCUAAUAUUCGGGCAGAAAUGUUCACAGGGUUAUCAACUGACCAAGAAAACAACGCUCAACCUGUUUUUGGAAGGGCAGAGAGAAUUAUUAGGAAGUUUAGUUGUUUUUGGAUGUAAAUUUAAGGGGGAUUAUUGACCUUAAUUAAUUUGGUCAAUUGUUGAUUAGGUGAACAAUAUUGUUUUCAUCAGUGGUAUUCACAAGGCCGAUCACCUAGUGACCAAGCAAAUUAUAGUCAAUUACCGUUGGAUGUAGAUCUAAAUGUGGAAAACAAAACAACUUCAGUUUAAAAUAAGACUUUCCACCAUUGGAUUUACAUCCAACGGUGAUUGACCAUGAUUUCCUUGGUCACUAUUAUGUGAACACUACUGUGUUUUCAUUAGAUGCUUGAUCCACAAGGGCGGCCUUUGGGCCGUGCGAUGUGUGCGGCCGCACAAGGCCUUUGAUUUUCAGGGGCCUCUGAAAUUUUUUUAUUUAUAUAAAUACGUAAUAAGUAUUAAAAAUAACUGAUAUGUUAACAUAUGCUCUUGUAGCAUAGUUGGUUAAGACUAUUCAUCUUAACUCUACCGCUCAAGUUUGAGGCCCACAGCCUUCUUUGUUUAGUAUUUUUCUUCCUCCUUUUCACCCCUUUUUUUUUCUUCAUUUUUUAUUCCCUUUUUUUUUGUUUUUUUUUUUCUUGUCAUUUCAUCCCCUUUUUUUUCCUCUUUUUUCGUCUGCAUUUUUUACCCUUUUUCCCCCUCCUUUUAUGUUUUUCUUGCGAUUUCAUAACUAUGUUUCCUACACUUUUUUUUCCUGNNNNNNNNNNNNNNNNNNNNCCCCCUCUUUUAUGUUUUUCUUGCGAUUUCAUAACUAUGUUUCCUACACUUUUUUUUUUCCUGCAUUUUCACCCCUUUUUUUCUACGUUUACACCUUUUUUUUUCUGCGUUUUUAUAAGGGAUUGUUUCCUACUUUGUUUUUUUUUGCGUUUUUAACCAUUUUUUUUUUCNCCUUUUUUUUUUGCGUUUUUCUUUUUUAAGAAUCUUAGGAAUAUGUUAUUUCUUGUACUUCAACGAGAGAUUGUGAGUUUUAAUAUUGGUUUGUACAUUCGGGAUCAAACUUGUGUAACUAAGGCCACAUUCAAAAAUAAAAAAAGGCCACAUUCAAAGUUUUGCACAGGGCCUCAUAUCCCUCAUCUAAUGCGAAACUCUACAUUUUACCUAAUUAACCCACGUAUGCUGAAGCGUGCACGCGAUUAGAAUGAUCAUGCAUCAAAGAAUACAUCAUUUUGCACCUCGCAUAUAUAAACUUCAAGGAGUUGGCUAAUAAGAGACACUUAAUUAACUUUGAAGCUGAUGAUAAUCACAUUAUUUGCUGAAGAAGUUUAUGAUGAGUAAACAUCUUUGUUUUUUGGGUAGUAAGAUGUGGUCGGCACCAUACUGAUCGAGUAGUUGUUUUACUAUAUAUGAAUUUUUCACGGGUCCCCGGGAAGAGGACCACUUUGAAUUUGAAAUACUCUCUCUCUCUCUCUGUGAUAAGUCACUGGUAGAUUCAAUUUAGAAUGCUGAGGAUAUGUUGAAUCGUCAGGAAUAUGGUGGUAGGGGAGAUGGAAUCUGCCAAGUUUUGCGCAAAAUCCGAAUCAGAGAUGACCUCACUAGUUACCCACCCUCCCUUUAUAAAAUUAGACAGGAUAAGGUAAAAGAUUCAUAAGCUGAAAAGAAAGAUAGAAUAAACUUUCCCUCUUUAAAACACUUAUGAUAUGAUUAUGAUUGUGUUAAUCAUCUCACAUGUGCUAGCUCAUACAUGGACCAAAUAACCUCAAAAUGAUCCAAGAAAACCUCCAUGCAUUUGUCAAUGGCAUCUGCCAUCCAUAUAUGAAUCUUGCAUGUGAUUGAUUUAUAUAUAGCUAAUAGCUUGAUAGUCUCAACUUAGUCGUUCUCGUUGGCUCCCUUGCUAACUAUAGAGAAAAACUUAGUGUCAUGUAAAAGGAAAGAAUAGAAGCAUUUGCGGUUUCAAACCAUAUACUUGUGGUCCAUAUACUUGUCACACACCAUCCCAUAGAUGUGAUCGAUCUGUGCUGGAAGAUUAAUAAAGAAAACUGAGGCUCGGAAAAAUCUCAGUCCAAGUGGGAUCCUCAGCUCUCAUCCUCUUCCACAGCAGCUAGUACUGCAUCAAAUUAGUUUCGGGGUCCAUAGCAUAUGCAAAUAUACAUAUUUGCAUGGUUUAAUUUGUCCAAUUGUCCUCUAAUGCCUUCCCAUGUCGGAAGAGAGAUCGAUCUGUCACGCCAGACGAUCAUGGAUGCAUUUAGCUAGCUGCUAAAGCUCUUACGGGUCCAUCGUUUCCAUCACUGAAUGAUUUCUGAAAGCAACUCCUGAGCUAACUAAUUGGAAUGGCUGUCUUUUUUUAGCCUAGCUUUAAUACCAUCUGGAUAUAUACAUCUAUAACCAACUUAGCACAGGUAUAUGUAUAAGAGGUAAACAUUAGGGUAUACCGGUAUAGACAGGUUCCCACAGAUAGACGAUAAUUAUACUUGGAUGCUUGCUAGCUAUAGUAGCACUACUGAAGCAAGUUUAUAAUUACAUUUGAACAAGAGGGUAUCUAGCUCACAGUUAAUUAUAUAUAAAUCUAAAUGCAUGUGAGAUUGUGAGGUGAUACUUAUUAAAAAUAAUAUAUAUUUUCUGUGUAAAAUGCUGACAGUGAAUUCAGUGCUAUAUUCGUUAUUAUUUAUAUAAGCUUGUCAGUAAUUCUGUGAAUGCAUAUAACUGCAUAAGGUGGUUUAAAUAGUGUUCUUGACCCAUACAUAAUCCUCUACAUUGAAACCUGAAAACCUGAUCGGAUCGGAGAACAUAUAUUGAUAUAUAUGCUACACCAAAAAUUUCAAAAUUUGGAUUUGGUUGCGAGGAUGAGGAAUAUAUGAGCUACGGUAUGAUAGCCACUCGAUUACUGAAGCGACUUACAUGCAUGGGGUCAUGGCAGCUUGACCCAUUAUGGUACUAUCCUGAGGCUUUGGUUCUGUUAGCUAGGCUAUACCACAUUACCACCCCAAGUUAGACGGCAAGAAUCUGAAUGAUGAGGCUAACCAUGGUUAAAGAGCAUGAAAUCAAAAAAGCUGCAUUGCUGCAAUAUGUGGUUACUGAAACUGAAACUGCAAGAUGUUGGAUAGAAUAUUAAAACUAUAAGGGUAAAGUCGCAGAUCCCCAAUACACCUCGCAUAUCAGAACCCAUGAAUGGUGUGGUGUGUGAAUCACUUUGACACUACCUCUGUGAGUCGAGCUCACUUACACUCGGUCACUCACAUGCAUAUAAGAAAGGUUUAGGGUUACAUGAGAGAGAGAGAGAGAGAGAGAGAGAGAGAGAGAGAGAGAGAGAGAUGUCUCUUCUUGUCUAGUAAGUAAAGGAGGAGAGGAGGUGGNNNNNNNNNNNNNNNNNNNNGAGAGAGAGAGAGAAUGUCUCUCUUUGCUGUAUAAAAGGAGGAGAGAGGUGCGUGGUCAUAUCGUCAUCUUUUCCAUUUCUUUACAGUUCUCCCUUCCCAAUGUGAGAUAGAGAAACGGAAAAAAGAAAAAAAGAAGAAAAGCAGAGCUUGAUUCUUAGUUUGGGGUCUGGUAAAAGCUUGGGAGUGAGUGUCAAAAAACUACAAAUUAAGAUAAAAGUGUGUCUGUGAAUGUGAGAGGAAGCUAGAGAGAGAGAAUAUACCCCAAGAGCGCCAAGAACCUUCAGACUUCAGUCAUUCUUUUGCUUGUUGCUAUCUACUUAAUUCCCUUGCUGAAAAUCAAAUGCUAGCUAGCUCUUAAUAUGUAUGCUUCAUGGAUCCGCUUUUCUCGCUUCUUCACAUCAAAUCAGCGCAACCUCUUCUCUCAAACAUAUGCAAAGUCAAGUCACAGUCGACCUUAGCUCUUUAAGCCUGGCCCUUCUGUCAUUUUCACUCUCAUUGUUAUAGAAGAUUUAGCUUUUAGUACUCUAGGAACAUCUUUCUUGUUCAAAAGGAGUGGUUUUACAUAGCUUAGCUUUGUUAUGGGUUGGGGUGGAAGAGCCUCCAAGCGAGGUAGUGGAGAUGGUGGAGGAAGAGAGAGAGACGCCACCACUUCUGGUUGCAUGUGUGCUGUUUUUCAGUUCUUCGACUUCCAUCACCUCCAGUUUCCUAAUUUACACCAGCAACAACACCCUCUACGCCCAGAAGAUCUCACUAUCCCCAAAGGUAGGUCAUCUCGAUCUCUUGCUCUUCCACAAAAUAUAUACUCUUAAGCAAAUAAAGAGAGACAUUUUGAUUUUGAUAUAUAUGAUACUACAGGUGUUGAAGCACCAAAGAACAGCUUGGAUUCAUCUGAGGGAGGGACUUCAUUUUCAUCUAUCACAAAAGAAGAAGAAAGUUUAAACAGUCCUGUAAGUGUUGUAGUAUAAUAUCUUAGUUUGCUUCCCUUUUUUUUGGAUUUCUCACCCGUUUCUCUAACAUUGAGGAAAAGCAAUUGUAGUGAUGAUGAAGAUAAUGAUAUACACAGGGACUUAACCCAGGACCACUUUGUUUAUAUGCAGAUUUUGAAAAUCCAACAAAUCAAAACAAGUGGAGGCACAGUUUCAGAUAGCAGCAGCUGCUCACCAGGAACAAAGACUCCAAGUCUUGUAGCAAGAUUAAUGGGACUUGACCUUCUUCCAGAAUCUCAGUCACCCUCUUCUACUUCGUCAUUAACCCCAAAUCCACAUUCCAUUUCAAAACCACAUUUGAAUCUACACCCUCUUCGGCCUCCUCGCCAAUCCCUCCAAAACACCAAAGAGGUCAAUGCAGCAGGUACUCGCUCGUUGCCGGAGACUCCUAGAAUAUCAUCAGCCAGAAGAUCGGACGUUGAUCACCACCACCGCCUUUCGCUUCAGAUCAACAAAGAGAACAUAGCCGUUGGCGAGGAGUUGGAGUUUUCGAGGCUGUCGUCGUUCAAAAGGAAGGAGCUACUCAAGAGUAUUAUUGCAGAACGUGAGAGUGGUAGGAGUCCAAGUCACUAUGCUAGGCAAAUCGUCAAACAGGUCAAGGAGACUGUGAGCAGGAAAGUUGGAUUGGUCGACGUUACAAACAUCACAAGAAAUGAUCAACACCUCCUCAAUCACCAACUCAAGUCGAAAAAACCAUCAACACCUUCUUCUUGUUCCCCAAGGCUCAGAUUGUCCGAGGCCAAGACUACCAAACCAAGCAGUACUAGUAUUACAGUAUCAACAACUUGCAAGGACCAAAUUCAAGUUGUGCAUCCAAAACCAAACAAUGUCAAGGUUCAAGCCAAGCCAAAGCCUCAAUCAUUGCAAGAACUGAAGCCGCCGCAGGCCACAACAAUUCAGAAGCGCCGAAAAAUGGUUGAAGGUGGGUUUAGUCCAGCGAAAUUGAAGAAGCAAGAAGAAGCGUUCGUUCGACCAUCAACGGCUCCCACAAGAGCUCAGCAGCAAUGCAAGAAAACACAACUGAUCUCGAACAAUCUUCUCAAUCUCCACAAUGUCCCUACUCUUCUUCCGAUCAAGAAAGACCCUUCACCGCCGGCGACCAAACUCCCACAAAAACAAGUAAAUACAUGUAACAUGCUUGUCAUUUUACAUAUUGCUCGGUUUUUUAUUCUACAUUUUUUUUUUGCUAAUUCUUGGUACUUAUAUAUUAUUUGUUUGGUUAUCACAGUUAUCUAGUUCUACGAGCCAGCAGCUGCAGAGUCAGUACACAAUAGAUCAAGCAGCCUCCUCCUCGAGCCUUGUGCUCGCUGCUCGAGGCAAAACGACGACGUAGUACCUAAAGGUCUUGCCGCCGCCAGAACCACCGGUGGCGCUGGUGGUGUUGUGAGAAUAUCAGCAGAUGUGCGCCAGUACGUCACGAGAAUAUUAUGCCGUACUGGCAUAGAUAAAGACACACAAGUUUCAUUCAUCAACUGGUUCUCUCCGUCCCACCCACUUGACCCUUCCAUUUUCUACCACCUUGAAAACUCUGUUACUAGUUUUACCACAAGUCACAACCCUAGCCAGCUCGGCCUAAGGUGCAACCGGAAACUAGUGUUUCAUGUGGUGGACGAAAUUCUCGUCGAAAUCUUGAGACCCUAUCUCAACCUUAAACCAUGGGUUAACACAACAACAAGUGUUACAAAAUCUGGUUACAAGGGUUCAAAGUUAAUCGACAUCGUGUGCUACAAACUCCAGAGCUUUCCGGGCGCCGAUUGCCGUGUCCUGGAAGACAUCGACGCGUUGAUCGACGAGGACUUGCCGGAGUCGAAUGUGCAAAGUGUAAUGGCAUUGGCGUUUGAGGAAGAAGGAGAGGGGGUGGUGAGGGAGAUAGAGAAGGACAUAUUGGACACUCUAGUACAAGAAACGGCAAUGUGCCUAUGGUUUUGAAUUUCCUACCCUGAAACGACGGCGUAACGGGUUGCAUGGGCGCGCAUGAGUGAGAGAGAGAGGACUAGACCAGGGUGCAUGGGGUGGUGCAGAGGGGGUCACAUGGGUGGUUCACGUGAUGAGAUGCUAUUCGUCCGGGGGUGCUCUGGGGUGGUGGAACCCAAGUGCAGAUCGGGACCUGUAAAGUGGGCGAGAGAGCGACACGUUUGGUAUCGGAGACCGAUCGACAGUGGUGGCAGAGAGACGCAGAGGAAUCCAUUCCGUUCUUCUCGAUCUCUAGCCUUUUGUAAUUUGUAAAUUCUUGCUUAGCUUUCGAAAUUCUACAUUAUAUAUAUGUAUUCUUUGGGUUAUCAAAGUACGUUAAUGUAAGUACGUACAUCUCAUAUAUGUUAUAGUAGACUAGUAUAAAUAUAUAUUGGUCUAGUACGGCUCACUGUUGUAUUGGUGGUAGCCUUGUGUGUUAGAACUCGCAUGUAUGCAAAUUUCCAACAUAUAUGAGAAAUGAAUCCUGCCUAGUUCAUUUGCGUAGCAGCUUUAAGCUUCCACUCAUGCAUGAUCGUUGCAUAGAGUGAUCUUGAUAUAUAAAUGGUAAAUUUUUGCUGAGUUUACUCAACAAAAUGAAUAGGUGAUUUAUAAAAGGUUGGUAAACUUAUAAAAAAUAAAAGGGUUGGUAAAUAGUAAAAAAAGCAUACUUCAUCCACACAAUUAAUCAAUUAUGCAAAACUUUCAUCCAAAAUCUUUGUACACCAUCCCAUGUAAAUAUAUAACACUUAACUUGAUGGAUAAGAUAUGUUUUCGAGGAAAAAUAAUAUAUGGGAAAAGCGUCAUUAUUAGUUUAAAUCUUCUGGGUUUCAGCACUAACCAGUUACCACUAACUAGUAUGUACCACUAAAUAUAUUUGGGAUUGUAGAGGGUAUAUGACUAUAUGCGCCAUGAGAAUCCUGCAGGAUUUGGUUGCCACAGUACUGCAUGUAUAUCAUGGGAGUCUGAGCUAGAAAACUUUAAAUUAAAAUCACAGAACCAAUCCUGUUCUCUAAAUUGGAUAGGGAUAGGCAUCUAUGCAAAACUAAAACAUACAUGAAGCUGGUGCGAAACCCAAAUUGUUUAGGGAUUUACUAAUAUACACCUGAUUUCCUGGUUUUAACUUUUAAGUAAUGCGGUAAUGCCUAAUAAGUUAGCAAACAAACACAUUUUGUUCUGUGUUCAAGUGUACUUGGCAAUUGGCAUAGUUAUUCUCCAAGCAUUAACGAGUUCAUCCGUGGAAUACGCUACAGGGAAUGGUGAUGUUAAGAAGCCUGAUCCAAUAAACUGUUUGUGUAAUUUUCCAUAGUAUAGCUAAGUCAUGCAUGCAAUAUUGAAACUCUUUCAUCUUUAUGCAUACUGAGAUACUGACACUGCAUACCAAAAACGUGUAAACAAGUAGAGAUUGAGCUCUCUCUCUCUCUCUCUCUCUCUCUCUCUCUCUCUCUCUCUCUCUCUCUCUCUCUCGUACAGACGUACUUUUUUGCCAAGAUAAAUUGUGAAAGUUAAUAAAGAAGCAUUAUUACGUGUGUUAAAUCUACCAGAAUCACAAACAUUGCCAUAACUGCAUUUCAGGAACGCCCUGGAAUUAAAGUCGGUCCUAUAAGAUCGAGCAUGGACAGUGGUUAACGUUAUACUUGUACCUAGCUAGCUGGUUAAAGAAGAAGAAGAAGAACACUCUAUCUUUGCAAAGCUCUCUUACUUCUGUUUAUUAUAAUUUUCCCCAGAGUCACAUAAUAACAUAGUGACAGGUGAGGCCAAACAAUUGCAAAGAUUCCUACAAGAAAUUUAAAUCAAAUGGAUUGGUUAUUAUAAUGUGGAUGUAUUAUUAUUAGUUAGUAGCCGCCUCUGGGUUGAAAAUGAAGCAACGAGCAGAGAAAGAGGAAAAAUAUAUAUAGCUUCUGGAGAGGCUAGGGUAGGAUUUAUUUCAGCAAUUACUAAUCUUACACAUAUAUAGAACUCAUAGAUUGAAUUAUUAGUAUUGGCAGUGAUCUAAAACUAUGCUAAAGAUACUUAUAGACUAAGAGCGGGAAAUUCAAAUGAGAUGGAAUGCAAUAUACAAAAUGACAGAUUGACAUGCAUGUGGCUUUGGGGUUUAAUUAUGGGGCAUUUCCAUCAUGAUGCAGAAAUCUGAGAGUUGACUGCAUCCAUAUUAAUGAUGUUUGAACAGAUUGAAGAAAUUAAAGUCUUGCAGCAGCUUGUGGAUCUGUAUUUUUCUAAGAUCCCCUAGAGGUGUGUGUGAUAUAGAUUUUGUGAACAUUUUAUAGGUACACUUUCCUAAGUUACUUCAAAUGUUACUCUAGAGAGGUGUUUAUAGUUUUCGUUAAUUGCCUCAUCUUUCGGCUGCAACCUGCAAGGGUUAAGAUCUUUUGAUCAAUUUCUUGCAGCUUUGUUCAUAAAAAAAGAAAAGAAAAGGUGUUUAUAGUUUUCGUAGUAAUGAAAUUUCGGAGACGUGAGCGGUUAGAUUAGUUCAAUAUACAAAAAAGCCACAAGUAAUGACUAUCUAUAUAUAGAACUUGUAUAUUUAUUCACCCAAAAAAAAAGAACUUGUAUAUAUAUUUGUUAGGUUGAUGAAAAUGAUAAUGAAGCUGCUCUAUUCAAUGGGUUUCUUCGGAUUGAUGGGACAAUAUACAUACGCAAUGCCAGUAGAAGCACAUUGCUGUAAUUGCUACAAGAGAAUUAGAUGGUGAUAGAGUAAAUAGACUUGAAGAAACGUGCUUCACCAUUACAACAAAGGUACGUUUCUGUGUAAGAUAUACUUACUUUUACACCAAUAAAACAGAGCUAAAUGAAUUUGACGUGACAAAUAUAAGAGGGUGGUGGCCAGUGAAAAUGAUGGUAAGGUCGAGUUUUGCAGGCUCAAGAAUUUAAAGAUUGGCCUAACUUUGCAGAAACAUGUUAAUGCAUAUGCAAAAAUAAAUGAACAACUUGAAGACCUACAGACUUGACCAUGCCAGUCACUAGCCACUGCAACUGAGAAAUCUUCGUCAUCGUCUCCCUACCUAGCUCAGCUAUUCUAUCAGUGUUAUGAUUGUAACAAUACAGAGCUGGGCUACCCCUGACCUUGGUGUCCCAUGCAUUCAGGGCAUCGAGUCUGGUGUCUGCACCACAAUAACGUAGUAGCCGAGUGCGCUAUGGCAAAUAUAACACAGAGCCAACCAAUCCUUCCAUUCUAGACUUCUAGUCUUAAUGAUCAUCAUGCUGUUCUUGAAUUUGGUUCAGUGAGGAAAGGGUAUCUGGAUAGUAUAAAAACUUGAAGAUUGAACUAGCAAUUUGAAUUUACAAAGAGGGUGAACUUUUAAUUCUGCUAAUAAAUAAAAUAGGUAGACGUCAGUGGAGAAUCUGAUGGCUUGUGCACCUAUCUUACUUCAAUUCUAUCAGAUACUGUUUCUGCAUAGAAAUAAUUACCAGAAAACAAUAAAUUUCUAGGCCAAUAAUGUAUUGAACCCAGAACAUCAUCCUAUAUUCAUAAAGUUUCAGUUGUACCGUUGUGAUUCUCCUUAAUAGAUGUCAGUGUACAAUUCUGGUCCACAGGUUCCCUUGCCUGGUUAGAUUGAGAAUAGAAAGAAGAAAAAAAAAUUAAGUAUACCUUUCUGACAUCUGAGUACCAAGAAUUUAUGGCAUAAUACAUGUCCUUUGAAGUUCAAUCAUUUGGGAUUAUGAUCGAAGAUACAUUAAAGAGGGGAAUGAUUUCACUUUUAUCAACCUCACAAAUCAAUUAACUGCUUAUUGAUAGCUGAUAGAGACGAUACAUAUCUUGACCAUUAAGAAGGAUCAAGAAAUGGUUCCUCGAAUAUAAGAUUUUCAUGUUGAAUGACUAUAUAACAACGAUUAACAAGUAACAUAUGUUCUCGAUUCAUGACUAGUGAGAUGAUACUGGCUAGAUACACUGGUGUGAGGAAGCAGUGGAGAGUUGGAUUGCACUUCCCAUAUGACAGUUGACAGAAUACAAGGGAAGGAGAACAGAGCCCAGGAAGUAACCCAAGGAAAGAAAGAUGAACUAAAGAAUAUAUCCCUAAGGCUUAUCCAAUGGCUUCAGCAAUGAGGGAAUCUGAUGUAAUGCUUCUAAUUUCUACCAUCCACAUCAAACCCAGACCCCGUCCAGCCAGGUGCAGGAGGUCCUCUACCCUUGGGCACGGCUCCAAGUCCCUUUCCUCUUCCAUGGUACUGGCUUUUCUUCUUUCCUCUUCCUUCACCCUCAACAGGAGCCUGUUGAUUGUUCCCAUUCAUGACCGGAACGUUUCCAGCAUUUCCUUGAUUAGGCAUGUUAUCAGCGACUCCACCAGGAACCUGAGAGGAAUCUGGAGUGGUGACACUUUGAGCAAGUCCCAUUGAGUUCCCAUCCUAAACAUAAUUCCAAGCGGAAGCUAUUAGUAUUCCUAUACUACACGCUUAUAUAAGAACAUCUUAAUGCUCCAAGUCCAUGGCUAUUCAGAUAUACAUGAGAAAUGUUCCCUAGGCAUGUAAGAGUUUGGGAAAAGAAAGAGUUGAUUUGGCUCCGCUCUUUUCCCCUCUACCUGCAAUGACUUACUGGUCAGGCUCAUCAAGGUAGGUAUACUUGGCAAAUGCCAUUGUAGCCAACAAAAUUACUUCUGUAAGGCUAACCUGAUCUUAAAACACGUCCACAAAUUUACCAGUGGCUUCUCAAUGGGAAGAGUUAAGAGGUACCCCUAAAAAGGAGAGAGGAGAUGCCUGCCAUGCGUAUAACAUUUAUAACUAGUUUGAAUUGAUCUCUAGAUCAUUAAUCAAAAUACUAAUAUCUAUGAGGUACACCAGCAGUUGUCAUGACAUUCCGGCACUCCAUAGUGAAGAGAAAAUGCAAUCUCUUUGAUCACUUGAAGGAAUUUCAAAUUUAAUGGAAGAAAAGAGAAAGCUUCUCAAUCCUCAAAGUAAAAAGAAACAGAACACUUCAAUGUUUAAUCAACACACCAGAUGCAUGAAGGCUGGUGCCUAUAACUUACACACACAGGCAGAUGAGAUUUAUUUGAACUGCAUGCAUGAAACUAUUGCACAUGCUAAGACAUUUCAAAAUCUAUGUUACUUGAUAACCACAAUGCAAUGUCGUCCAUCCCAUUAACAACUUAUAAUUAUAAUACCCUCAUAUAAGCAAAGAGAACUUACAAGAGAAACUGAGGCCGAUGCUCUAGUUGGGUUCAAAGCUUCAAGUCGUCUUUUUAACUCCUCCAGUCUUGAAAACUGAGUAUUGCUGCUUUCUUGUACCUGUUAAAAGUUCAAACACACUGUCAACAAUAUUUGUUGAGAGUUAAGACUAACCUCAAGGUUACACUAAAACAAAGAUCAUGUACCAGACUAUUUAAGUCAUCACACAGCUUCUGCUUGAUGGCUUCCUCAUCCUUAACAACCUUUGCUGCUGCUUCCCAUGCCUGAAAUACAUCAAAUACAAAUAGCCAUUAGACACUAUUGGGGGAUAAAUGUUUGAUAUGAUUAGGAGAACCAUCCAAAUUUUUGUAUACAAGCAUCAAAUCUCUAUCCAUUAAGUAUAGCUAGAGUUCUUCAAUGAAUCUGGACCAAGUCAAACAAUUCAAUUACUUCUAAGUAGACAAAACCACACCAAGUUUCUUUGAAACAUCUGAUCUUUGAAAGAUCUAGGUCUGUUUCCUCAAGAAUUCAAGUUAAAGCGCAAGCAAUUUCAAGGGGCGGACCUUUUUUGCUUGAUCUUCCUUCAGUUUCGCAGCAUGAAUUCUCUCUGUUGCUAUCUCUAUUUUCUUCCUCAAGUGUUCAAGAGCUUAAGAACACAUACACAAAAACAAAAAGGAAACAGUUUUCAAAUACUAAUACAAAGAAGACAAAAUUCCACAAAAUUGCAACAUGAUAGAGCUAGCACUGAUAUUGUAGCAACCUGAUUUUUUCGGCCCAGCUGUGAGUUUCAUCUCCAUUGAAAGACUUGCAAACUCUCGUUCAACAUCGCGGAUUUUAGAGUAAUUUUCUUCUAUAUAUCUGAACAUGUUAGCAUUUCCACUCAUGAAUCAGUGGAUCCUAUGGAACAAAUUCAAUUACAAUAGCUACAUGUUGGUUAAAAUCUAAAGAUUAAAAAAAAAAAAAAAAACCCCUGUUCUAAACUACUGCACUACUGCAUUUGUAACUUUAGCACACAAGAAAGCCAAGGGUCAAAACACACAAAGACACUUCCGAUUACUUGAUUUCCUAUACCAAACAUACAAACAAUGCAGAGGUUCUUGCAUCCCAUUAUUGAACAAAGCUAAUUUCUUUUAAGUUAAAUCUAAAUAAAAGCUAACUUCUUUGAGUUAAAUCUAAGCUAAGAAGUUACUUGGAUCCCUCAAGAUUAUCGAGAAACUUAUAAAUUCAAUCUUGUCAAACAAAUUUCCCUCUUUUAAGUCAAAUCUAAGCUUCUUAAUUACUUAAACCCCCCUCAAGAUUAUCAAGAAACUAUCACAUUCAUUCAUUCUUGUCAAAUCAAACCUAUCACCGACUAUCGCUAAAUUCAAGAUUCUGGUUCAUAUCAUCUAAUAGAGCAACUAUAAUCCACUGCAGUACUGCUCCAACACUCAACUCUAGCAAGCAGCAACUUCAAUUCCAUAAACUGAUACAUAUAACCUAUAGAAACAGAUCAUAAACCCUAACAGAUCGCCAUAGAGAAACGAAACGAAAAUGCGAGAUUGAAUAUAGAAAAAAACCUACUUACUUUCUCAAUUGAUGCUGUUCUUCCUCGAUCACCUGCCACAAAACCAUCACACACUUCAAGAAUCCACCAAAGAAACCAGAAAUCGAUAAAGAUAGAGAGAGAGAGAGAGAGAGAGAGAGAGAGACGUACUUUCUCAGUGUAGGUAAUGACGGAGGCCUCGCGAGCAAGGCCGUCGGGUCCGAUCUCCGGCAUCAGAGACGGAUUCGUCUUCGAAGCCAUUUCGGAUUCUUCGCCGGAAUUUGAAUCAGAGAGGCAACGAUUUCUGAUUCAAACUCCCAAACCUGCAGAGACCCCCUCCCCUUUUCCCCUUUAUACGUCGUCGUUUUCCUCUUCUUCCUUUCUCUCUCCGUUUCGCUUUCCGUUAAAACGAAAACGUGGAUUUCGUUAAUAAAUCAUUUUCUUGAUAUUCUGUUAGAAAAACAACAAUUAGGUUAAACCGUAAUUUCGCGCGUCGGUGUUUGCGAUAUAAUGACGAAAAUGCCCCUGGUUAUUGGAUCCGCUUCAUCACGUGACAUGACGUCACUCCCCGAACGUGCCCGCACAACGCGGGCGGUAAAAAAAAGUCGAAAACGCCGCAGCAAGCAACGGUUCCGUCUCGUUGAGUUUAAACAAAAGUUAAGAGACUUAAUUACAGCUAAUAAACCCUAAAUCUUAGACUUGAUUACAGCUAAUAAGCCAAAAAUUGGAGCAAAGGUAUCAGCUAGCAAUUUUGGCCUUUUGGGCAUGAAUGAAUUGAGGAGAUCAUCACAACUGUGAACUGUGAGUGUAUAAAAGUUUAAGGUGUUAUAUGAUGAUCAACCGAAAGAGUGACGAUAAAUUAUAUUGCACUAAGAAAAAAGAACAAAAUUCAUUCACAAAAGUGACUUGAGAAUUAUUGGCAGUGUUUAUAUCCACUAUGGUACAUUGGAAGGGAGAUUGAAAAUUUAUGGGAGGAUUUGUGGAGCGAAGAGCUCGAGGAUAUCUCAACAGGGAAAAUAAAUUAUACAAGCUUUAGCUUGAUGCAUGACUGCAUGAGUUAGGAAUGGUGUCUUGUCUCUACUUUUUAUCAGCGUUUUGAGCUAAAAACUGGAGGACGGCUUCUGUUGUCGGCAUUGCAGGAAUGGCUCCUCGUUCUGUUACUGUGAUUGCGCCGCAGGCAUUUGCGAAAAGUAGAGCUUCUCGUAACCCUUCCUCAUCCUGCAGGUGAAAUAUUGUUUAGUGCUGAAGGAAAUGAUGAUAAGGGCUAAUAUGUGUGGCAGCAUAUCUUCAUAUUAAAUUAUAUCUUGUUCAUUCAAAACUACUUUCAAGAACCAUAAACUGAUAGAGUACAUUUUCUAGCAGAAUUCACUCUUCAGGACAUAAGCAUGAGUAGGUACCUGAAAAAGAUUCGAAUCAGAAGCUAUGCUGUUGAGUAUCCCACCGACAAAUGCAUCACCAGCACCAGUUGUAUCAAUGGCUUUUACUUUGAUCCCCGCAACACGGCCCCUGAAAUUCUGAGAGAAUUUUGGUUUAUGUCAACAAGACUGUAAACAACUAACUAGAAAUAGAGUAGGUGGAAGACAGCAAUGUAGUGUGCAUUGUUCCAAAAAUUAGUGAGUUCUUUUUUCAAGAGAAAUCAGAGUACUGAAAAUAAAAUAGAAAACUUGAUAGACGUACUUGUGUGUAAUAUCUGCAACCCUCUGAUCCUUCGGUUACUAUCAAAAGUUUAAGAUUAGGAUGAAAAAGCUUUGUUAACACCACAUUAUCAUCAUAAGGAUCAUCACCACCAGUCAGGAAAGUUAUUUCCUCCUCGCUUAUCUGCAAAUUUGUGAUAACAAAACCUAAUGAAAACUAAGGAUAAAUAUGUAGAUAGUAUUUCUACACCUAUCCAAGAGCUAUCGAGUAAUAACUUCCACACAUGCAUUUUGUACUUUGGGACAUCUUACCUUGAUAAUAUCUGCUUGAUCCCAUAUGCUCAUUAUUUCUGUCCGUGCAAACUCUGCUGAUGGCCACAAUGCCAAUCGCAAAUUGGGAUCAUAAGAAAGGAUGCAACCAGACUUCUUGGCUAUGUUCAUCGCAGCUUGAUGGGUUGACCUGCAUGGUUCCUCAAUCAAACUAAUUGAACCAUAAUGGAAAAUUUUUGCCUGCAAAGAAUAUUCUCCAGAUCAGUUUCAGUCAAAUGAAUAGGCUUGUUUUAUUGGACAGUCUCUCAAAAAUAGAUGAGAAAGAUAGCACACCUGUUGAAGAAGACUUAUUUCAAGUUCUGACUCAUGUAAAAGCAUAUCAGCACUUGGAUUACGGAAAAAUAAGAAUUCGCGCUCACCAUCAGCUCUGAGUGUUACAAAUGCCAAUGCAGUUCUUGCAUUGUGGUCAAAUCGCACGCCAGAGGUGUUAACAUUAUUUUGUUUUAAAAUAUCAGCCAACAUCUUGCCAAACUCAUCGUCACCUACCUGUAUUGCAGGUACUUCGUAAGUUGAGACAAGGAGUCACUAACAUCAAAAUAUGAGCUUCUUACUCCUUAUGGGAUUGGAUGAAAGAUUAGUUGGAAGAUGUUUAAUAUACUAGGAAUGAAAGAGAAGGGGUCUCUGUCCAAAGUGAUACGAUUUUACAGGGGUUUCACAUAAUAGGGAAGUGUGAGGGAAUGUUGUUUGACUCAAAUUUAUGAUUGUUGUGAAAUUGGGACACAAGAAAAAGUGGGAGAAAAAUGCAUUCUUGGACCAUCUAAUACUCAAAAAUUGAAUUUAUUGUAAUUUUCAGAUGCAUCAUACAUGCAAGAAAAGGUUUACUAGAAAUAUCCUUCUCAAUUAUAGAUUCCAGAAAGAAAACCAAAACCAAAACCAAAGGAAAAGAAAGUAGAUCUCUUCAUACUAAAGAGGGCCGAAAAAUACUGAAAUGUACCUUGCCUAUAAAAGCUGCUGAACCACCGAGUCUAGAGAUACCAACAGCCACAUUAGCAGGAGCGCCACCGGGAGCUUUUUUGAAAGCAGGUGCUUCAGCAAGUGAAACUCCAGCGACAGUUGGCACAAAGUCAAUCAGCAUUUCCCCAAAGCAAACAACCAUCGAUUUGUUAUCUUUUAUUUCUGGAUCUGCGGACGGAGUUUCAGAAUUUUUAGCCAAAUCCAACAUUUUGAUAUCAUCAAGAACUGCAAUUAUAUGAACUAACCAGUAUUAAUCAAACAGCACAACAUCACAAAGUUUGUCUUUCAACAGAGCUAUUUCCAGUCCAGCUUUUUAAUAUUUAGAGUGCCACCUGGUUAUAUGUUUUAAGCUAUUUUUAUGAUCAAUUUACCAUAUUUUUCUUAGACAAGAUUAAGAAGACAUAUGCCAGCAAAAAAGUUGGCAGCUAUAAAUAAAGGGACAAACCAUAAGAAGCCAUUUCAAAAAUACAAAAUCAAAAUCACCAUAAUACUCCAAGGGAUACUCCUAGAAUCAAUUCCCUUUCUUCUUUUCCUCUUCAUCUCUUAUACCCCACAACUUGGUAAAGCAAACUAUUGAUUUACUGAUCCUAUAAUACCCAAAUUGUUGAGAAAAAUGUUCAAUCUUUACAAACAUUCCUUAACCAACAGAUCAACCAUCAAACUCAUGUGCUUAUAAUGAAGCUAGUGAACCCUUAUGGGGCAAUUGAUCAAGUUCUAAACUUUUGAACACAGUAAGAUUCUGAAUCACUACUUUCACUCGAAAGACUUGAAUCUACUACAAGUUGGUGUAAUACACUUCUAAGAGAUAUUCAAUCAAAUACGCAGAGAAAGAUUCAUCACUGCAAAACAGGAUUCAGCAAACAGAACCCAAGUAGAGAAAAACACACCCAAGACAAAACAAACAAUCUUCAGCUCAAAAACACAAAAUUGAAACCAAACCCAGAUUCACAAAACUCACCAGUAAGAUACUAAUAGAAAUCAAAGACCCAAUUUGAGGACAUAUAUGAUCAAAAAGGAGUGUAAUUUAUAUGAACAAGCCGUAUAAAAGAAGUGGAAACAAACCUGAGUUGGGAGUAGAAGCCAUUAGAGCAAUGGAAUUGGAAUUGAAACAGAGAAAACAGAGUGUUUCUCAAGAAAUUGGUUUGGCGGCUUCGUGUAGUAGUUUGGUUAAUAAAGAGAGAAGGGAAGGAAGAAGACAAAUGGUGAAGCUUAAAGAAGGUAAAUACUAAAUUUGCGAUCUUGAAGAAUCACAAGAGUCUGAGAGCUGUAAAGGAAUAAAAACAAAACAUACAUGAUGAAUUUUCAGAUGGUAAUCUUGCAAUUUUAUAACCCCAAAUCCGUAUCUUCAGCCUAAUCUUAUUCUUGGCUGUCUUUUCCCUAUUAUUUAUGAAAAUGAGAAAGAAAAAAGAAAAAAAAAUCCAUACUAUUAUAUUUUACUAUUUUUAGUUGCAACAUUUCUCAUUUUGUCGAUUAAAUUUUUUUUGAAAGAGAUUCUAAAGUUUGCAUUAAUUAUGUUAAAAAUAAGGUUCACACUACUAAGCGCGUUCAUAUUGUUUAAGAUGUCAAACACCUAGCUUGCAACUCGAGUUUGACGAGGGACAAACUUUUUUGUCAUACUCAGACGCUAUUGCAAGUCUUGGUCAUUGAACAUCAGACGGCCAAACGCUAUUGAUGGAUAUAAGUUAUAGAACCAAAGAUCUCCUAGCUUUUGUUUUACAUACAAGUUUUUCGUAGUACUUUUAAUUUCUUUCAUUAUCAAAAAAAACUAAGUAAUGAAAUUGUCUCAAGCAAUUAAGCACAACCUUUAACUAUAUCAUACAAAGAAACAACCUAUAACAAAAUACAAAGACGAGUUUUUCAAUUGGAACAAGAUGCAUGCCUGCCUGCAUGCUUGUCUAUUUUAAUCAAGGUAAAUAGGAAUAAGUUAUUUAUACCUGGUUAUUUUACAUUGUUUGUUUUUUAAGCUUUAUUUAUUUGUUUAGCUGGUUUAAGAAAACUCAAAAAGUGAAUAUAUAUAUAUAUAUAUUUUUAAUAAGGAAGUGAAAAUAUUUUAUUUUAUUUGUGUAUAAAUUUGUCCCACUCUUGUCUUGGUUCUUGAAGGGACCGAGUGGAGGAAGAGGGAGCUGCUCUUCCUAGAAAGACUUUGAAGCUUUUGUAUCUAACACUUUCGGACGACUACCGUAGGCAUGCGGUCUGUUGUCUCUAUACAUGAAAUUAAUCAAUCAUUUUUGCCUAUAAAACAAGUUAUAUUGACUCAUUUUGAGAAGAAGAAAAAAAAAAAAAAACUACAACCACGUGUGGAUUUUUGUCCUCCACCUCGUAUAAGAAUUCAAAAUGAUUUUUUCUUGUAAUUUUGUGAUUAGGGUAGUUGAUUUUGUAAGUUUAUGAAGCCACGAAAAUUCAUCAUAAGAUGAUUUUACUAUGGUGAAAUUCAUGUCACAUCGAUAUCUUACUCGGUAGCAUUAGCUACUGUUAAACUAAUUAUAGUUUGAACAAAUCCCAUGAACAAUUCACCUGAAUCUAAUGUCACAUAAGUUACAUCACAUAUGAUCUGACUAGACAAGGGAUUUGAAACCAUAUAUAUUACACGCUUGAUUAAUAACAUGCAAAAAUUAGCGGAGAUAUAUGAUUGCAUACAUUCUAAAUCGAAUCAGUGGUAGUGCUUCAUUUUUUGCCACAAACGCAACCGCAUUAUCCUUUUUCAAAUUCGUUGAAAACGAUUGAUCAUUAUUCAAUUGAUGUCUUUGCAUCUAAAGGCUUGGAUUUUCUUAUAAUUGUCUGGAUUUAAAAGCAAGCUUAGAAAAUUACAUAAUAGGUUAGAGCCGAGAUGAAAAUUCUGGUGUCACACAAACCCUCGAUCAUAAGUUCUUAACUAUAUAUGUAAUAGGUGGCCUUAUACUUUGAGACGAAGAUCAUAUUUUAACGUCAAAAUAGAACAUUCAAGACCAUAUUCCUCACUAAUAUUGCCAUGAGACCAUGAGUGAUCAAUGUGCUAAAGCAAGGUGUGUGUUGCAGUCCGAAUCCUGCAUACUCCAAAACAAGGUUGAUGCAGCCUUGUAACUGCUCGUAUCAAAUUUCUGAAAGAAGCAGUAAAACUUUUUUUUUCUAUCAAAAUGGAAAGAGAAGAGGAACCUACUACUAAUCAAAUUCUGAAUGGAAUUUAGAUAGGUAGGAAUUAUAUUCGUUCGUUGAUGCACAAUCUUCGUGGCACCAUUUGCGUACCUUUGGGUUCGAAUGAGAUGGGUUUUUUAUAUAUAUACGGAACUUUGAAACCAAAGUGGGAACAAUUUUUAGGAAGAGGUAUCUUAUAACUCUAUCACAAUCAUUCGAAUAAAAUGUAGGCAUUGAUAAACUGCAGUCUGAAUCAUUUUGUAGAACAUCCUCACGUUUUGGCUUUCCACUAUAACAAAGUUCUAGGCCAGCUACAAUGCUAUAAAUUUAGACAAACUCGAUCGAAUGAACCAAAUCACCUAGCUAAUAAUCUAGCAAGGUCAUGACGGCCAUAUGACGAAUUCCAAUAACAUAUCGUUUCUAGUUUACAAAUCAAUAAGUGUCUUGACUCAACUCUAAAAGGCCAGGAAGCCCCGGCCUUAUUGAUAACAUUACACUAUAUACCUACAUGCAUUGCUCGAGGAGAUAAUACAUGAAUAAUUUCAGGGAUGGCUCGAGGAUAUAAUACAAGAAUAAUUUCAGGGAUGCCAAUAUUGCCACAGCCCUAAUUGGUGUUGCAGCUGCAGAAUCACACCCGAACUGUUCAUGUUUCAAAAUGGAAUAAAUAUUUAGGGUUAGGGUUUCUACAUUAGGUGUUAAUUAAGGUGAGAAGUUCCAAAUUAAUAAACAGGAUAUCGAUCUUUACCAGAUUCAUAAGCAUAAGGUAGGCUCUUGAUUAGCAUUUGCAGAGGGCGUUUUAGUAGAAAUGUUCUCAUGAGAAGCUCCAGCAGCUACAGUUGGCUGUCCUCCCGGACGACCUAGAAUUAGUGCUUCAUCUUCUUCAUCAUCCUCAUCAGUAUUGUCAUCAUGUUUUUCACUUUCUUCAAGCUGAAAAUUAUCACAAACAUCCAAAAAUUUCAUAUAUCAGAAGCUAUUAUCACACAUGCUCAAUGACGCGCGCACACACACACUGAAGUACGAGCACAGUACCUCAGAUUCGAGCUGCUUUUUUAUCUCUUCAAGAUCACUCUUCUGCCAUUUUUAAAAACUAAUAUUAUUAAAUGUGGUCGAAUUCGAAAAUGAAGGAUCUAUAUGUAUAAUUCCAUUUCUAAUUAGCCCCUUGUUUCAGGCCGGUGUAGUGGAACACACUGGAACUCUUCACCAGCUCUGCACUUACCAAAAAACAUGAAUAUACUAAAAAUAAAAAUCAAAUAUGGAGAUAAACUAUUUUCCUGUUUUCAAACCUCUGAUGUAAAAUGUCUUAUUGCACUUAGAGCAUGAGCACUAGUCUCUAGAAGAAGAAAGAAUAGGAUAUGUGAUAUGUGAUAUGGAAACUAGCAUAGUGUUUUUGUAUGGACUAAGUUGUCAAUGGUGUAGCUACACACAGGCUCCGUUGGGCUACAGGCUUACAUGUCAUCUUAAAUUUUGAAAAAAAAUUAUAACUAAAUUUUAGUUCAAAAAGCUAAAAAUAAAAUCUAGCCCACCCCAAAUUUCUAAAUUUAGCUCGUAUGUUAUUAAAUUUAGUCUGUUUCUAACAUAAAUUAGUAUGCGUCUAUUGAAGGAAAAAUUUCUAGCCCAUCAAAUUAUAAAAUCCUGGCUCCGCCAUUGUAAGCUGCUAGCUGGAGAAUCAAUAUUUGAUCGCAUUCUCAAGUCUGUUUAGAAAGUUGCUGAUGACCGGCCGAUUUGUUUUUCUUAUUAGAACUAAUUGCUAUAGGUGAUUUUUUACGUAUAAAGCUCAAUCAUAUCUAUAUGGACAUUAUAGAUGGAAUGUCUCAUGCAUACCAAUACAUACAUAUAGAAGUAUAACUGUAUAACAAGUCUAAUCGAGCAAGACAUGCCCUGUUGAUGAAAUUUAUUGAUAAUUUGGUAAUGAUAUUAACAUGCAUUUACGUGCGUACUUUUCUGCGUAGUGCUUCUAAUUGAUCUAACAUCAUCUGCAUCUGCAUAUAUAAACCAGAAAAGGACCGCUGAUCAUAUAUCUUCUGUAAACUUUUAACUCUACACGACCUUAGUAAAAGAAGGGAAUUGAAAAGUAGAAUUCCAAAUUGCCCAAGUUUCUUCCAACUCCCCUGUACUAAACUAGGUCUUGAUCCAUUCAAGAUAUAUACUGAUCACAGGUAGUACUAAUAACCCUUCGCUCCAUUAUAGCUGACCAAACAAGACUCUGACCAAUUAUAUAAUAUAAAUUUGCAAGACAGUUCUAGCAAACAUAACAUGGCAGACGACCUAAUAAUAUUAAGCAUCACUUUACACACACAUACUGACAUACAUAAAGAACACAUACAAAUACAUGCUAUAACAUUUUUUUUGAAAAGAAAUACAUGCUAUAUUAUUGUUAUACCUUUCUUUCUCUAGCUUGUGAAAGAGUUCUGUCAAGCUGUUUCUCUAGAUGUUCCAGUUCUUUCAGACGAAGUUUGUCAAGAUCUUCUCCAAGAAAAUGUCUACACACGCACAACUAAAUUAAGAAUCAUCUAGUAUGCUAAAGAGCUAUAUAACUCUGCAUGAUGAAUUAAUUGCCAAGUCGAAACAUAGAUGUAUGCAUGGUUUUCAUACACACCUUUGCCAACUCUGAAGAGAUUCAUAUCUGACUUUCAAUCUUGAGACCUCUUGAUAUAAGUUCUGCAAUAGAACAAUGAAAUGUCUAAUAACAACAUACUGGACUACAAAUGAAUUAAAGCUUAGCAAAAUUUGCAGCUAUAUCAAGUGGUUAGCAAUCUUUGCUCAACUGAUUAUGAACGAUGUAUUAGUUAUUAGGGAUUAAAGCCAUUCAAUUGGAUCAUUUUCAGCAUACUCAAUAACCUGCUCCGUAAUCAUUUCUUUCAUGAUUAUCAUCGAUAAUAUAUAUUAUCAUGAUUUUUGCUGCAUCGUCUGCUCCAUCUUCAUUCCUUUCAUGAUUCAGCUGUGACAGAUGCACUGGCCAGUAUAUAUACCUCCUCUCUAAACCUCACUCAAUAAUGGAAAACUAAAUAUCAAUAUGAAGGGUCCAAGUCACCAUACAUACUAUACAAAUGAAUUUGAAUAUAGCCUAGAUGAAAUAAUUAGAUGUAACUACGAAAACUCAGAAAAUAGACGUAUGUAUAUAGGUACACUCCUAUAUUAACAAGUUUCCACAAUUGCAUAUUGGAUUUGAGAGAGAUAUUCAACAACCUGUUUUUCACUCUCAGCAACAUUGUCUUGUGAGGAAUAGCAACAUUGGUGGUAGCGGUUGAGGAUUUCGUUUACACUAGCAAAAGGAUGACAGCCAGUCAAUCUUAAUUUGUGUUGUUGACACUUAAUAGUUGAUAAAUAGAGAGACUAGAGUGAGAGAAGAGAAAGGGAACUAGAGGAUUGCAUAACACAGUGAUGAACACACACACAAAAGAUGCAUUCCAUGCCUAAUAUAUAUCUUGAGUAUGUCAUAUCAUCUAAUCGUGGGAGUCGCACUGUUUGUGUAUUUAUAGUACAUAUAACUCCUUUGAUCUACAUUUAACUCCUUUGAUUUACUUUAAAAUCACUCCUUGAUGACCUUAAUUAAGCACUCGUCGGUUUGGGAAGCAAAUCUGCUGUGUCUAAAAACCCAGUGCCAAACUUGUGCCAUGCACCUACCACAUUUGGACACAUGUUCCCUACUUAAACAGACUUAAAUUCUGUUAACUAUAUCAUUAUCUUCUAAUAAAAAUAACAAAAUUUUAAUUAAGGUUUAAGACAAACCCAAGUUUGACUCUAUCUUCUAAUAAAAAAUAACAAAAUUCAAACUCCUUUGAUCUACUUUAAAAUCACUCCUUGAUGACCUUAAUUAAGCACUCGUGCGAGAAACUGGGUUUUGUGGGAGAGAGAUGCAGAGAAAGAAGAAAGAGAAUAAACAGGGAAGAGGUAGAGUCAAACUUGGGUUUGUCUUAAUCCUUAAUUAAAAUUUUGUUAUUUUUUAUUAGAAGAUAAUGAUAUAGUUAAUAGAGUUUAAGUCUGUUUAAGUGGGGACAUGUGUCUAAAUGUGGCAGGUGACACAGGUUUGGCACUGAGUUUUUGGGCAUAACAGAUUUGCUUUCGUCGAUUUGAUUGUUCUUAUUUAUAGUAAUAAAGGAAAUCUAUAAUGACAUAUUUAUAUAGAUUUAUAUACAACACUGCUAGUGAUUUAACUCAGAUCUAAUAAAGGAAAUAUGUAUACAUAAACAGAAAAGUGGGCAAGAGCUUAUGAUUCAAUUUUCCCUUGAUUAAAUCUUUUCGUGUAUGUAGUUUUCUGACUUUCUCUUAUUAAAAGCCGGAUCUGAAAGGUUCUUAAUCUAAUAAGAAUUAACAGAAAAAGAUGCAUGCUGAGUUGAGUUGAACGAUAAAAGCUAAUUGGGAGAGCUGUACUUUUCUGACCAUAAAAUGAUAGGGAGAGUUCACAAACCCAUAAGUAAUGCAAACCAAAGCUACAGAUGGGUACCAAAGAGAAACAGAAACAUACCCUAGCUAAUUCUAGACAACAUAAAAUUAAGCUAAUAAAUAUAUGAGACCCCAAAAUUAAUAUAAAAAACCCUAGAAAGCUACGUACGGAUGACCCUUCAGUCGUACGCACCAAUAUGCAGCACCAAAGGAAGAAGAAGAACCCAGAAAAUCUAUUAACGUUUAACAAAAAGAAGACGAAGAAUUAUAUAUACUCGUUGGUGCUGGCAAAGUCGAAGAGCUUGCCGCAGCUGCAGAAGACGAUAAGGGCAACUUGGGCAUCACAGAGCACAGAGAGCUCCUGAGCUUUCUUGAACAGACCCAGCCGUCGUUUCGAAAACGUAACUUGCCGGUUUGCCUUGUUCUCGAUUCUCUUCAUUACCACUUUCCCCCUCCCCAUCUUUCUUACACUGUUUACGUCUCUCUUUCUCAGUCUCUUUGAGCUCUCACUUCUCACACAAUCAACUUGGAUUCACUGUAGAAGUCUAUGGUGGUUGCCCUGUGUUGCACUGUUGCUGGCCUUAUAAUUUAUGUGGUGAGGGGCACAUGUCGGCUGGAGUGCAACGGGCAUGUCCACUCUCCAAUCCUUUAGCUUGAACAGCGACGAGAGUGGGGUUGUUUUGAUGAAGGAAACUGAAGCGAGUAGGGUCUCGGCACGUACCCGGGCUCCAAGGUGAUUGACUGCACUGGAUUGCUUUGUGUUUCGUUUCUUUUCCCAAGAACCAAGAGGCAUCUUUUAGGCAUGCUAAAAUGUAGUCGUACGGAAAGGCAAGUCAGAAUACACGUCAGAACAAUUGCACCGGCGGGCCAAUUGGCUGACCAAAUUAAAAACCCCAGAUUGGUGGAUGCAUCGGUCUAAAAUCAGUCGAUCAAUUAGAGGGACCAAUUUUUGGCAAUAUAAUAGGUCGGGCAAUUGUUGGGGCCACAGACAAAGAGGUGGGUCUAACUGUAUAUGAAGAGAGAAAUGUAGAGUUUAGUUUGAAAAAUUGUUACCGGGAGGAGAGUCCAAUCCUGUACCCCCUCAACUAAAUGAUGGUUAUUUUGAUAUUCCACUGAAGCAAGUACUCGAACUGGUAUAAAUAUAAUUUUUAAAAGAUAACAAUAAAUGUCAUUGAGUUUUUUUUUCUUGCUAAACUAUCAUUAAUUAUUCUGUUAAACGUUAUUAUUACUCUGUCAUUAUUAUCAUUUUAAAAUAACUAAUGAAUCAGCUUAAUUUUGUUCAUAAAUAAUUAAAUAAAUUAUUUAAUAUUAAAUUGGCAAGCCAAUUGCCCUUUAUUGGUGCAUGGUAGAAGUGGAGGCAAUUGUCAAUCUUUGAUGAAUAGUGAGUUAGCAGUACCAAUUUUGUUAACAAAUUAGCAAUUGCCCUUGGUUCGCUCUUAUAGUGUCCAUAUUAUGGGGAAAUAGUUUCACUGCAUUUAGACAAUUUCAAUCACUUAUUUGAGCCUAUAAACUCCCGACUUGUUUCAAACACAUAGAAAAGUAUAUAGAUAGGCUCCCCAAUGCACUCAAUUUUGGUGUUCUAGAACUAUGAUCAUCAAAGUGCUAAAUAAUUUUAAAGAUCGUAUGACAUGUACAUGUGUUUAGAUUUCUAAUAGACGCUCAAAACUCACACCACUUUUGUAUGAAACAUCGACAUCAAUGCCUAGAGAUGACACUCAAAACUUGUUCCAACCAAACAAAUUGAAGGCCAGAAGACAGGAACCAACGGUCUCCGAUAGAAGGUAUGUUUCUGUCUUUCAUUGUUUUUGCUGUGCCAUUUUUGUUGAAAUGAAGAAAAUUGUGAUGCUUGAAUUGUGUGUUUUGUUGUUUGAAGAAAGACUUAUCAUUGAUCACUUUUGUUUGUGCAUUGUACGGAGAUUGAAUGAGGGGCCUUGAUUCAUUUUCCCCAAAAUGUUUGCUUUGUAGGUGAAAGUUUUCCAGCAAGAGAAUUACCUUGCCAAUUGGAUCCAGGUAUGAAUGCUUGCACUUAUUUGCGGUGUGGAUUUUGUAUUUUUGUUUAGCGCAUUGUGGUAUUCGGAGUGAUUCUUUGCAUUUUCUGUCUCGUAGGCGUUAUUUGAUUCAUUGCCUCCGGAGGAUUACAAGGAUUGGUUUACUGGUGUUGGGAGGUGAUGGUCGUUACUUUAAUCGUGAAGCUGCACAGGUUCUCUUAUAAAAGCUUCAUCCUUUAGCUUGCACUCAAUGCUGCAUUAGUUUGUUGUUUUUCUGUUUUUCAUGUGAUCUCCAUUCAUAUCAGAAAUCCUACUUUCUGUGUUGAUGAUCAAUUUUUUGGAUCUGUAUUGCAGGUUAUCAUCAAAAUCGCCGCAGGGAAUGGUGUUGGGAAAAUUUUGGUUGGCAAGUAAGUGCCUGGAUUGGUUGAUAUCUCAAGUGCUAUUAGUGUCUUUACAUAAUUGCUUCAAUUUUGUGUAAAGGCUGAUGUCGAACUUUUCGGUUCUCAUGUAUCCAGUGCCAUGUGUUGAUCCUUUUUAGGUUCUCAUUUAAGCUUUAGCAAUACGAGUUAAUGAUAGAAUUACUAUAACUUGCAGGGAAGGAAUUUUAUCAACACCUGCUGUUUCUGCUGUAAUCCGCAAGAGGAAGGCAAGCUAGUGCUGCUUGAUUCUUCUUUAUUUCAUCAUGAUGAUCAUUUAACAGUGUAAUUAUUCGAUUUUUAUCUUUCUUUUUUUCUAAUGUUUCAAAAUAUUUUAUAGGCCAAUGGUGGUUUUAUAACGAGUGCAAGCCAUAAUCCUGGUGGACCUGAUUAUGAUUGGGGUAUUAAGGCGAGUUUCUCAUGCAGACAUAAUAUGGAAAAUGCAUAGUGCAAUGUAUAGUGUGACAGGAUCAUAGUCCUUGCACUUGUCAUGUCUCAACUUAAGAUACACAGUAAGAUCUGUUUGAUUCAAAAUCAACUUUACUCUCCACUUUUCCCCCUAGCAGUCUCUGUGGGAGAAGUCUUGACGUUAUAUUUCGUGAAUUUCAAUAGUUAAAGUUUUGUACAAUUUUCAUGUGCUCUUCACCUAUACCAUUUGUUGAGAUAUAUAUCCCACAUCGGAAAAAAUAGGACUUUGUCUGUGGUUUAUAACGGUUUGGGCCACUUCAUCCAUUGCCAAUUGGUUUUGGAUGUGAACCCCAGACUACUUUAUCAUGGUAUCAGAGCGGGUUACCCACGUCCACGUGUGAAGCUCAAAGGCCACACGAACUUCACAUCACCCUAAAUAUUGUCCACGUGUUAGGCUUGAAGAUUCACCACACGUGCGGGGACGUGUUGGGAUAUAUAUCCCACAUCGGGAAAAAUGGGACAUUACAUGUGGUUUAUAAGAGUUUGGGCCACUUCAUCCAUUGUCAAUUGAUUUUGGACGUGAACUUCAAACUACUUUAUCACUAUUUAUGUGUGAUUAAGUUUGAAUCCUGCCAUGCAGAUCUCACAGAUAAAGGUAGCAGAUAUUGCUGAUGUUGACCUAUCUUCUGUUGGAGUUAUAAACUAUGGCAUCUUAUUCACUGUUGAAGUUAUUGAUCUGGUUACUGACUAUUUGAAACUAAUGGAGGUGCAGACAAAAAUCAUGCUCUAUAAAGACUUUUUCUUAUGACAAAUAAUCUAGUUGGAACACCACUAAUUGUAUGAUAUUUCCCAUGUAUUUGAUUUCCAGCUAAUCAAAACUCUUCUGAAGUUAGACUUUAGGUAUACUUAUCUGCCCUCCAUCAAGAAGGAUCUUACCAUGUGCUUUGGUUGUAUAUCUUAAUUGUUAACGAAUCAUGAAUUGCUUUAUAUUCAGUUCAUACCAUGUUAGCACUCAAUAUGGUAUAUUAGAUAGAUUUCCUUGAUUCUAGACUAUUCUAGAUUAGCUAAGAUGGUUAAAGUGCAUACAGUGAUAAGAAAGUAUGGUCCAAAUAGCAGCUAAGAUGCUUACUUCGUAGUCGUAUCGAGAAAAGAAAUUUCUUCCGUAGGUUGCCCAGUGUUCUUACACUCAAACAUGUUAUGGAAUUCAUCAUAUGGCCGCCGUCAUGACCUCGCUAGAUUAGCUAAGAUGGAGAUAAACUAUUUUCCUGUUUCAAACCUCUGAUGCAAAAUGUCUUAUUGCACUUAGAGCAUGAGCACUAGUCUCUAGAAGAAGAAAGAAUAGGAUAUGUGAUAUGGAAACUAGCAUAGUGUUUUUGUAUGUACUAAGCUGUCAAUGCUACACACAGCCUCCGGUGGGCUACAAGCCUACAGCCCAUCUUAAAUUUGAAAAAACAUUCAUUUUUAACUAAAUUUUAAUUUAAAAAGCUAAAAAAUAAGAUCUAGCCCACCCUAAAUUUCUAAAUUUAGCUCGUAUAUUAUUAAACUUAUUUUGUUUCUAACAUAAAUUAGUACGCGUCUAUUGAAGGAAAAAUUUAUAGCCCAUCCCAUUAUAAAAUCCUGACUCGACCAUUGUAAGCUGCUAGCUGGAGAAUCAAUAUUUGAUCACAUUCUCAAGUCUGUUGAGAAAGCUGCUGAUGACCGGCCGGUUUGUUUUUCUUAUUAGAACUAAUUGAUGCUAUAGGUGAUUUUUUACGUAUAAAGCUCAAUCAUAUCUAUAUGGAAAUUAUAGAUGGAAUGUCUCGUACCAAUACAUACAUAUAGAAGUAUGACAAGUCUAAUCGAGCAAGACAUGCCCCGUUGAUUAAAUUUAUUGAUAAUUUGGUAAUGGUAUUAACAUGCAUUUACGUGUGUACCUUUCUGCGUAGUGCUUCUAAUUGAUAUAACAUCAUCUGCGCUUGCAGAUAUAAACCAUAAAAGGACCGCUGAUCAUAUAUCUUCUGUAAACUUUUAACUCUACACGACCUUAGUAUAAAAAGGGAAUUGAAAAGCAGAAUUCCAAAUUGCCCAAGUUUCUUCCAAAUCCCCUGUACUAAACUAGGUCUUGAUCCAUUCAAGAUGUACGUACUGAUCACAACUAGUACUAAUAACUCUUCACUCCAUUAUAGCUUUCCAAACAAGACUCUGACCUAUUAUAUAAUGUAAAUUUGCAAGACAGUUCUAGCAAACAUAACAUUACAGACGACCUAACAAUAUUAAGCAUCACUUUACACACACGUAUUGACAUACAUAAAGAACACAUACAAAUACAUGCUAUAGUAUUGUUAUACCUUUCUUUGUUUAGCUCGUGAAAGAGUUCUGUCAAGCUGUUUCUCUAGAUGUUUCAGUUCUUUCAGACGAAAUUUAUCAAGAUCUUCUCCAAGAAAAUUCCUAAACACGCACAACUAAAGAAUCAUCUAGUAUGCUAAAAGAGCUAUAUAACUCUGCAUGAUGAAUUAAUUGCCAAGUCGAAAUAUAGAUGUAUGCAUGGUUUUCAUACACACCUUUGCCAACUCUGAAGAGAUUCAUAUCUGACUUUCAAUCUUGAGACCUCUUGAUAUGAGUUCUGCAAUAGAACAAUGAAAUGUCUAAUAACAACAUACUGGACUACAAAUGAAUUAAAGCUUAGCAAAAUUUGCAGCUAUAUUUGGGACAAAUUUCAAGUGGUUAGCAAUCUCUGCUCAACUGAUUAUCAACGCGCGAUGUAUUAGUUAUUAGGGAUUAAAGCCAUUCAAUUGGAUCAUUUUCAGCAUGCUCAAUAACCUGCCUCGUAAUCAUUUCUUUCAUGAUUAUCAUCGAUAUAUAAUACAUAUUAUCAUGAUUUUUGUUGCAUCGUCUGCUCCAUCAUCAUUCCUUUCAUGAUUCAGCUGUGACAGAUGCACUGGCAUGUAUACCUCUCUAAACCUCACUCAAUAAUGGAAAACUAAAUAUCAAUAUGAAGGGUCCAAGUUACUAUACAUACUAUAUAAAUAAAUUUGAAUAGCCUAGAUGAAACAAGUAGAUGUAACUACGAAAACUCAUAAAAUAGACGUAUGUAUAUAGGUACACACUCCUAUAUUAACAAGUUUCCACAAUUUCAUUGGAUUUCAGAGAGAUAUUCAACAACCUGUGUUUCACUCUCAGCAACAUUAUCUUGUGAGGAAUAGCAGCAUUGGUGGUAGCGGUUGAGGAUUUCAUUUACACUAGCAAAAAGAUGACAGCCCGUCAAUCUUAAUUCGUGUUGUUGACUCUUAAAAGUUGAUAAAUAGAGAGACUAGAGUGAGAGAAGAGAAAGGGAACUAGAGGAUUGCAUAACACAGUGAUGAACACACACAUAAAAGAUGCAUUCCAUGCCCAAUAUAUCUCUUGAGUAUGUCAUCUCUACUACUAUAAAGUCAGGCGCUUCAUUAAAUUGUAAACUUUUAAAAUUACCCUUAAUGAAUCAACUAACACAAAUAAAAUAAAAACAAAUUAAAUAAAUAAUCAUAAAAACUACUGAUUAGUAAGACGAAUAACUGUAUGAUACGGUAAACUGAAUUAACCGUUCACGCUUAUAUGCACGAGUAAAAGACUAAUAUCAUCUAAUUGUGCGAGUCACACUGUUUAUGUAUUUAUAGUACAUAUAACUCCUUUGAUUUACUUUAAAAUCACUCCUUGAUGGCCUUAAUUAAGCACUUGUCCAUUUGAUUGUUCUUAUUUAGAGUAAUAAAGGAAAUCUAUAAUGACAUAUUUAUAUAGAUUUAUAUACAGCACUGCUCGUGAUUUAACUCAGAUUUAAUAUGUAUACAAAAACAGAAAACUGGGCAAGAGCUCGUGAUUCAUUUUUCCCUUGAUUAAAUCCUUUUGUGUAUGUAGUUUUCUGACUUUGGCCCAAUUUAGUAUUGAGUUUUGAUAAUUAAAAUCACUUAUAAUCUAUGUUGCAUGGACACUGCACACCCCUAGAAAUGUCCGUGCAAGAGCUCAUGAUUUAACUCAUAUUUAAUAUGUAUACAGAAACAGAAAACUGGGCAAGAGCUCGUGAUUUGUUGUUCCCUUGAUUAAAUCCUUUUGGGUAUGUAGUUUUCUGGCUUUGGCCUAGUUUGAUAUUGAGUUUUGAGAAUUAAAAUCACUUAUAAUCUAUGUUGCAUGGACAUUCACACCCUUGGAGUGUCGGAGUGUCCAACACGCCUGACACGGGAACACGCCUCCGACACGUGUCUGAAAAUUUGUAAUUUUCUGACACGUCCCGACACAUUGACCGACACGCCACCUCAGCCUCUAACACGCCAUGUCAUUAAUUACUAAUAUAUAUAUAUAUAUAGAGGAUCUAAAGAGGACAUUCUUACUUUAAGAAUUUGAGGAUUUCUAUUAUUUUACAUUAGUAGAUGACUUCAUUUAACGAUCUCAACCUUUGAUUCUCUAGAUUCAUAUGCAAGAUACAUGUCUACAAAAUUUCAACUAAUUCUAUAAUCAUUUGGUCAUUCAAAUUUAUGUAAACAAAUGUAAGCCGUUAGAUAAAAUUAAAACGAAUAUUGUGCUAAUCAAAUGGUUAAACGUUUUUUAUUUUGGCUAUUUUUUGUAGGAUUCAUAUGUGGGUAAAUAACUAGGGAAUGAGUGGCUUUGAUUGUCAAAAUGCAUGCUAGAACUAAAAACAUCUUCAUUUUAAGGAGGUCCUCUCUAAAUCCGGACUAUAUAUAUAUAUACACACACGAAAACGAUAGAGAGCGCAUGUGCGCAGUGCACACGUCCCUCCGUUCGCCAUCGUCUGGUGCCGACGAUGGCGCGCCUCCACCCUAGAAGACUCCAGCAGCGUUCCUAACCACUUUCCCUCCCCGGGUAGUCCGUUUUUUUUCCAGUUUUCCGGCGAGAUCACCUAAAACUUCAAAAAAGUCAAUCUUGCCGGAAAUUGGAAUUCGGAGGACUCGCCGGGGAGGGAAAGUGAUCGGGGACGCUGCUGGAGUCCGUCGGAGUGAAGGCGCGCCGUCGUCGGCGUUGGACGGUGGCGAACGGAGGGACGUGCGCAUUUUAAACCGGUGAAGUGCGCACGUCCGCUCUACAUUCGGUCUGUAUAUAUAUAUAUAUAAAGAGGUUUAGAUGGAUUAUGGAAUGAUUGAAAUUUUUUGUCUAUUAGGUGUUAGAGGGUUGUUGUGUUACUAAGUUGAUGCAUAGUUUUUUUUACAAUCUAUAUCUGCCCAUUUGAUUCUCUUUAAUGACUUACAUUUGAUUAUCUUUAAUGUUAUUUUAAUAUGUUUAUACAAUGAAUUGAAUUUAGACAAAAAAGAAAGAAAAAAAUAUUGAAUUUAGAACAUGAUUUUGGUAAUGUUAUGAACUUAUUUCAUAUUUUAGUAUAUUUUUUAUAUAUGUAUUAAAAAUAUAUAAAUAUAUUAUUCUAUUUGCUGUGUCCAAUUCGUGUCGGAAACUCAGUUUUUGAGUUUUACCGUGACGCCGUGUCCAUGUUCGUGCAACAUAGCUUACAAUCACCAUUUUGAAUAGAUUUCUGUUUAGUAAAAUUUUAAAACGUGCUUAUUUAAAAAAAAUUAGUUUAAAUAACUACGAUUUUAAAAAACAGGUUNNNNNNNNNNNNNNNNNNNNNNNNNNNNNNNNNNNNNNNNNNNNNNNNNNNNNNNNNNNNNNNNNNNNNNNNNNNNNNNNNNNNNNNNNNNNNNNNNNNNNNNNNNNNNNNNNNNNNNNNNNNNNNNNNNNNNNNNNNNNNNNNNNNNNNNNNNNNNNNNNNNNNNNNNNNNNNNNNNNNNNNNNNNNNNNNNNNNNNNNNNNNNNNNNNNNNNNNNNNNNNNNNNNNNNNNNNNNNNNNNNNNNNNNNNNNNNNNNNNNNNNNNNNNNNNNNNNNNNNNNNNNNNNNNNNNNNNNNNNNNNNNNNNNNNNNNNNNNNNNNNNNNNNNNNNNNNNNNNNNNNNNNNNNNNNNNNNNNNNNNNNNNNNNNNNNNNNNNNNNNNNNNNNNNNNNNNNNNNNNNNNNNNNNNNNNNNNNNNNNAACACAGUAAUGAUACUGAGUUGAGUAACUUGAGUUGAUCUGAAAGGUUCUUAAUCCAAUAAGAUGCAUACUGAGUUGAGUUGAACUAUAAAAGCUAAUUGGGAGAGCUGUACUUUUCUGACCAUAAAAUAAUGGUAAAUGAGAGAGAUAGAGGGAGAGUUCACAAACCCAGAAGUAAUGCAAACCAAAGCUACAGAUAGGCACCAAAGAGAAAUAGAAACAUAACCUUAGCUGAUUCUCACUUGAACCAAAAAAAAAAACCUUAGCUAAUUCUAGACAACAUAAAUUAAGCUAAUAAAUAUAUGAGACCCCAAAAUUGAAAGCUACGUACGGAUGACCCUUCAGUCGUACGCACCAACAUGCAGCACCAAAGGAAGAAAGAAGAACCCAGAAAAUCUAUUCACGUUUUAAAAAAAUAGAAGACGAAGAAUUAUAAAUACUCGUUGGUGCUGGGACUGCUGGCAAAGACGUCGAAGAGCUUGCCGCAGCGGGAGGAGACGAUAAGGGCAACUUGGGCAUCACAGAACACAGAGAGCUCCUGAGCUUUCCUGAACAGACCCAGCCGUCGUUUCGAAAACGUAACUUGCCGGUUUAUCUUGUUCUCGAUUCUCUUCAUUACCACUUCCCCCCUCCCCAUCUUUCUUACACUGUUUGUCUGUCUUUCUCAGUCUCUUUGAGCUCUCGCUCUCAUACAGUCAACUUGAAUUCGGUGGUAGUUGCACAGUGUUGGUGGCCUUAUAAUUUAUUUGGUGAGGGGCACGUGUCGGCCGGAGUACAACGGCCAUGUCCACUCUCCAACUUUAAGCUUGAACAGUGACGAGAGUGGGGUUGUUUGCUGAAGGAAACAGAAUCAGAUGCGACUCAAGCAGGGAAAGGGAACAGGUUUCGUAUCGUUUGCUGUUGAAUGAGAGAGUUUGAAUGCCAGCAAGCGAGUAAGGUCUCGACACGUAUCCGGGCUCCAAGGGGAUUGACUGCACUGGAUUGCUUUGUGUUUCGUUCAGGCCGUUCCUGCGGGGAGGUGUGAGAGUCCGCCGUCUCAAACACCACAAAUGCGAGGACACUAAAAAAUAAUAUAUAUACAUAUAUAUAAUUUUCAUAAAACUUUUAAAUUUUUUCUUAUUUCUCGUUUUCUCGCAUUUAUUAUAUCUGACUAAUAUUAUAAUACUUUAUAAAUUCAUAUUUAAGAUUCAAGAUUGUACAUUUACUGUGUUUUUACGUAUCUUGUGGAGAAAUUAUUUUUUUGCAACGACCAUAUUUUUUUUCUUUCAUAUGACCGUUAAAGAGCACAAUUCUCAAGAUUCACCUCAGGUCUUCAAAUCCCAGGUCCGGCCCUGGUUUCAUUUCUUUUCUCAAGAACCAAUAGGCAUUUUAGUAUGCAUUUUAGUCGUUUGGAAAUGCAUGCUAGAAUGACACAUUACAGUGUCCAUAUUAUGGGGAAAUCGUUUCACUGCAUUUAGACAAUUUUGAUUACUUAUUUGAGCCUAUAAACUCUCGACAUGUUUCAAACACAUAGAAAACUAUAUAGAUAGGCUCGUUAAUGCACUCAAUUGUGGUGUUCCAGAACUAUGAUCAUCAAAGUGCCAAAUAAUUUUAAAGAUCAUAAGACACGUACAUAUGCUUGGAUUUCUAAUAGACGCUCCGAAACUCACACCACCUUUGUACGGAACAUCGACAUCAAUGCCUAGAGAUGACACUCAAAACUUGUCACCAAUCAACCUUCCAAAACCACACACACCUUCUCUCUUGACCUCAUCAUUGUGCAAUUAAGUACCCGUUCGGCAACCAACAAAAUGACUUGCCAUGCCAACGGUAUCAUUGAUCAUUUUUGAACAUGGCACCAUUUUGGUGGUGUAGUUGCUCUCUCUCGGCGCUAGGGCUAAAAGAGAGUUAUGAUGAAGGAUAAAGUGUAGAGACAAAGAGAUAGCAAGAGAAUCAUCAUCUUAUUCGUUGAUAGGAGCCUUUUAUAUAGGGAAUUACACAAUACCAAUAUGGUAAGGAUAUGAAUACAUAGAUCUAGUCUAACUACAUAUCCUAUUGGCAUAAGGCCAAGGCACACAUAGAGAAUAUCCUAGAACACUCCCCCUUAUGCCGCGCGCUGAUAUGCCGAUGGUGCUGAUCUGUUGCCUCGUCAAAAACCUCGUCAUGUCACAAAAACCCUGUGGGAGAAAAACUGAACCUUGAUCGUAGGAGAAAAAGAGUACAACGCACCCUUCACAUUUGAUAGUGACAUGUAUGUAUGUGCUAGACUCCCCCUGAAGUUCACACCUCCCUCUGAUCUUUACAUCAAUCAUAGGGCUCUUCCUGAUUCUUACUAAUCACGGAAGUUUCAAAAACUUAGCAUGUCAAUGCUCUUUAACAUGUCUUCAAAUGUGGCAUUAGACAAUGAUUAACUAAAUCAUGCCGUAUUGUCCUCAAAUGAUCUUUUACACUUAGAUCUUGAGGAGAAGGUCGCUUGUGAACUCAAAACAUAAGUUCGUGCAUGAAAUCAGGUUUCCGCGCAGCAUGACCUUCAAUUACUAGAACAGUCGUAACUUCCUCUAGGAAAUACAUAUGAACGAACCGUAAACGUUUUUGGAAACUAGACUCAUUUAGCUUUCCAACCGUAUAUUAGACACAUUCUGGUUCAUCAGGAGCUGUUCACAAAAUCCCGUCGAAGUUGACUGUUUUGCCAAAAUCAGAUUCUCGGACAGAUUCGUCAUACUUUACGAAAACGGCCAUAACUCACUCAAUAUGAUAGGUAUGAUCAAAUGGUUGGUGUCUCUGGAAAGUAGACACAUAGACCUUUCCAAUGGUACCAAUUUUACCAUAUUCCAGUGAGUGAGGUUUCCUGUAAGUCCCGUGGAGCUUGACCUACGAAACUUGGCAGAUUCUGAUUUCGUUAUUGAUGUGUCUUUCUUAUGUAGGGAUAGAAUAAGCCUAAACCUUUCAUACCAUUAAGUAUUGAAAAAGGAGUUACUGCCAUUACAUUGGCGUUGCGUGGGCGCAUAGCUACACUUAGCUUUACAACUUUUCAUAGCGAAUGAGAUGUCAAGUCUUUCGUAUUAUGUUGAGUACUGCGUCUAAUUGUACUUAGAUGGGAACUCCAUCUCUUAACACAUAUUUGUCAUCUUGCUUUAGACAAAACAACGGAUCUCUUUUUAGAGCAAAGACCUUGACUAAUCAUGGGAGUAUAUGUAGGCCUCACUAGUUAUAGAGCGCCUAAGCCGAUUGAUGGAAAAUCAUUAUCAAUACAGUCAUCGAGUGCCUUAUCGAGACCAUGUCUUCCCAAGAUCUUUUUCUUCGGAUGUUGAUACAUAUUGGCAUUUCUUGAUCCAUCAAGAGUCCAUGUAAAUCCGGAAUGAACACGCAAAGGCAUAAUUCACCAUAUCCCUUCCAAAUCAAGUAGAGUCCAUGUGCGUUUCAAUACAUUUAGCAAACACAUGCUCCUGUGGUUUGGAGCCACUUGAUUCGGAUGAAUGAAGUCCGUUUAAGAUCUUCAUACAUAUCUCUGAUCCCGUAGAGAUGUUAUUAUGACCACAUUCAUAGGCUGCUUGUUCAGUUAUUCGGAAACUACCAAACUGACAAAGUAGUGGAGUUCAAUGACAUCCAUUACGAGAGCAUAUCUCAUCAUAGUCGAUCCCAGUGCGUGUUAGUGAAAGACCUUGCGCCAUAAGGUGAGUCUAAGCUCUUACUCUCACUACGCUAUCUAACAAAUGCACAGUUGAUAGGGUUUAGCUUGCGGUGUCGGCAUCACCUGCCCAAGGACCUAUCUUUUUGUUAAUGCUGGAUCGCAUCUUUCCAUUAGGCCAAUCAACUAAGUUGAUAUCCAUCAACGAAGGGUGGUUCGAGAGUAGACUCAUUAUCUCAUGUCCUCAUGUACACUAGUGUAAUACUUGUAGAGAUCUCUAUAUGGAUUGGAUUUGACAUUGAGGCGUCCCUCAACAAUAAUCACAAUUCAGACUUCAUGAGACGGAUUUGAGUAUCACUGAUCAAUGGAUCAGGUUGUGCCAAGCUCGCUUUCUGCAAGACAAUAUCGAACCUAAGGGCCUCCCUCCUUUUAGGGAGCCACACGGCCUUGUGACACCAAUUUUGCCACUAUAUAACGUCACCCUAUCACCAUCCAUGGUGAUGGCGUCAAGACCAACAGUUUUUGGUCGCGCCAUGUCUUUUUGUAGGACAUCAAUCCUUGCAGACAUAUUUGCAACAUGUGAUCUCGUCACUUUAACACUAUAAGCAUUUGGGAUCAAGAUGAGACUUAGUGGGGACAAACCACGACAAUUCACGUCGUUCCACUUGAACACUUGUGUUCUUAUCUCCCCCUAACGGCGGGAAUAUUGUCUCAUCAAAGUGACAAUCCGCAAUUUAGCGGUGAAUGAGAUCGCCUGACAAGGUUCCUACAUAUGCGGAUUAUAGGUGGAGGUUCAUAUCCAACCUAAACUUAUUCAUCUCAAAUGACCUAUCAUUGUACGCAGUGGCAAUGCGAUUUGGCACCUAGAAAUAACAUCUAGCCGAGCUCAAGGAUUGGAGAUCCGUUUCAAUCCUGCCGAGCUUAAGGAUUGCAAUUUCGUGUCAAUCCUGGUACACAGUCACGAGCUGUAGUACAACAAAAUUCAAUGAUGGUGGGUCGUAGAUGAAUAGUAAAGCUGCAUGCAAAUAUUGUAUAGCCCCAAGACGCAAUAGAAAGAGUGGUGCGCAUCAAUAAUGUUCGAGCGACAAGCUAAAGUUGCUUGGUCAUAGCCUCGGUGAGACCGUAUUGCGUGUGAACAUGGGGUACAAGACACUUCAACUUACAUCCCGAUGAACUUCUUUAAAGAAUGGGUAGUGAGCCCGUAGAAGUAUAAGCAGCAUAAGCAGUAGAUAAUAGUGUAACACGUGACCAGUGUGCUAACACUUCAACCAACACCAUAAAGCAUAAAAGGUGUCCGCAAAUUGGUUGUAUCUAUCUACAUAAUUUUAUGUAAGAAUAGAAUGUUCACUUUUGUAUUUAGCAUAGGAGGGUCUCACUCCUAAUUUAGCUAAAGAAUAGGCUUUCAAAACGAGCAAUGAGCAUUGCAGGGGGCCAAUGCGACAUCGAGGAAAGGCCGGUGCACCUCAAUUGCUUGAGGAAUUGACCAAACGACCUCCAGGAAGUUGGAGUCGUGUUCGGGUGACGUCAAUGUCCCCCGGGUCACCACCAUGCUUCAUGGUGAUGCUAGGUCUCGAAUGUCUUCGUUUUGAGCGGAAGAAUGGAUGUCCAUGAGAAUUUCUCAAAAUUUGGAUCAUUAUAUCUCUUCCAGGUUGACCAAUUUAAUCAAACCAAAGCCUAUAUGAGUCAGUGUCCCAAAUAUCAUGUUUGGCGACAACAUGGGAUUCGAUA
rnacentral:lncRNA from 1 species